CUUUCCCUAGCACCUCCUAGGUGUUAGUAGUGAGUCCCGAAGCAUCAGAAGGCCCCGAGAAGAAGAGCUUUCGACUCAGAAGUUCUGCCCAUGCAGAGCCCGGUUCUAUGCUAAACCCCCUUGUAAACGAGUUAUGUUUACCAUACUUUGAGUAUAACUUAUGUUUAAGUUCAUUAUCAUUAUUAUGAACCUAUAAACAAGAUUUAUCAGUGAUUCCAAGUCGUUAUAGUGAUUGAUCUACUUACGGGGAUGAUGUAUAGGCUGUGAUUUAGUGAGGUGUUUUAAGUGAGAUUUCCAAACAGUAUACUUCGUCACCAAACGGACCCUUCCUCUGAUAUGAUCCUAACUGGUUGUUCAUAGAUCUUCAUGUAGAAUUUGAGUCAAUGGUGAAUCUAGACUAAUAAUUAGUCACAAUAAAUAUUAGACUGAAACAUAGUGAUAAUGAUACUAGGUUAUGUCAAAGGAAAAGACAAUUGUUAGAAGCGAAGCGUUGUCCGAAUUUCGAGUCGUCACUUUAACAAGGGAUUACAUAGUCCCUUUCAGAAACAUGAUUUCAAUACAAGUAUUAAAUACAUUCGUCCCUAGUACGAGAGUAUGGAGUGGGCAUAGUCAUUUGUCAUUGAUCCGAGAGCAUGGAUUAGAUAUACCUGAUCCGGGAGUAUAGAUUAGGUGAAGCUGUUAAUUUUAGAUCCGAGUGUAUGUAUCGUGUCGUUGUGAGGAUCGACCUGGUAGGGUAAAAUUGCUUAUAUGAGGUGAAAUUGUAUAUUGAGAGUUCUAAUAUAUAUAUAUAUAUAUAUAUACACACACACACACACAAAUAUANNUUAUAUGAGGUGAAAUUGUAUAUAUAUAUAUAUAUAAAACAUUGUGUGAUUGAAAUCCCUAUGUACUCACCAAGUUUCCCAACCUAAACCACUUAGUUUAUUGUAUCACAGGUGGCUAUAUGAAAGAUACAUUCUAUUGAGAGAUUCAAUGAGUAUUAGACCACUAGUUUAAUUACUGUAAGGCUUGUAAUAUUUCGUUAUGAUUAUGUUUCUGUAUUGACGAUGACAUCCCAAUGUUUUAAUAUAAAUAAAAAUACAUUUCUUUGGAAAUGAUUUGAUAAUAUCUUUAUCAUAUUUUAUGGGAACAAAUUCCGCAAUACUAUUUUUCAAAAAGGAUACUCUGAUUUUUUAAAUAAGCAUAAACAAAUCGAUCUUUUUUUGUCGUGAAAAUGGGGAUGUCACAGAAAGCCUUAUGGAAAGUGUAGAUGUGUAGCUAGAAGGAUUAAGAGCUUAAUGAAUUAAGCUGGUAAGAACAGAUCCCACGACAUGGAGAUUUAGCCUCGACGACGUGGCGUGGGUGGCCUUCGCGACUGUUUGGCGUGAGGUCACAACAACAUGGCAAAUUCUUGGCCACGUCGAGGCGACCAAUUGGUGGCUUUUGACCGUUAAUGUUUUGACUUUUAACCAAGUUUUACUUUAGGUCAAUUUGAGGCUUUUGGGAUGUAGUUUAAGAUCUGGUCUCUGAUUGUUGUAUAGGAAACCUGUAGAACCAGUUCUUAGAUUUUUUGAGCUGAGUUGUUAUCUGCUAGACUGCAAGUUGGGUUUUCUCAAUAUACUUUGUACUACAGUAUAUAUCCUUAAGUGUAGGAUAUUGGUGUAUUGUAGUGAUCUAUUAGAGUGGUAGAUUUGUAUGACUACCUGUGUUUGCUGGUUAUUGUUUAUUUAUUUUCAUAUGUCGACAUAUUGUGGUUGGUUGGGUUGAGGCGGUCCUACUUUGUGUUGUAGGUCAAUAUACCCGGGUGGUCUAGUGUAUUGUAUGCUUUGCGAGGUGGUCUAGUCAGACUGUAGGCCCAAGGGAGCGGACCAGCUACUGUAGGCCUUACGAGGUCGGCCAUUAGACUGUAGGCUCGAUAGAGCAAUCCAUGCAUCAUGUAGGCCUUGUGAGACGGUCCAGGCAGACUGUAGGCUAAUGUGUGCAUGAAUUGUAUCUGUAUUGUUAUAUGGGGUAUUUUGGUAGGAACUCACUAAUCAUUGGCUUAUAAUUGUGGAUUUAAGGUAGUGUUUGUUUUUUGUCUACAGAUCUGCGUGGCCUCUUCUGUCUGCGCCGCGCAGACCACACACAGACAUUAGCCUUCGCAGACUAUUUGUUUUUUGAAGAUUGCAGACCUAAAAAUGUAUGUGCGCCCUCUUCUUGGCGCAGAUGUGGACCAGAGUCUUCUAACAUCUUUAGACAUCUUCUAGCCUAAAAAAACAUAUAUAUCUUUGUUUUUUUAAAGUUUUUUUUUAAUUUAUAUUUUUUCCAACUUUAUUAAUGAUAUACAAUUUGAAAAAAAAAUUACAAAACUUAAAAUAACACGUUCGACGAUACACACAUAGUAUUUUUGAUAAAUUUAUAAAUAAAGAUUUAUUACAAUAAUAGUCAUUGAAGUUGUUUAUAUAAAUAUGAAAAAAAAUCAUAAUAUAUUCUUAUAUUUUUUUGCCAAAUUUUGUAAAACAUUAUUUAAUACAGUAUCGUCAAUUUCUAGAGAAAAUAUUUAUGGUACGUUUUUAAUGGAUUUAAUUGAAAAUAUCGAAGUUUAUUUCCAUCCAUUUAUGUAUCAAAUUCUUUGAUCACUAAUUAUAAUGUUUGAUUAUAACUUUGCAACCAAAGUUGUUGGUUUUUAUUAAAUAUAUACGUUAAUUCAUACCAUUUUUAUUUUUAUUUUUUUAUACAAUAAUACAUAAAAGUUGAUCUAUAUUCGUUAAUUAUUUAUAACAAAGUCAUAAAAAUAUUAAAAAAUCACUUCGAAGUUUAAAAAAAUCAGUUUAUUUUAGUAUCCCGCAGAUGUUAAAAAAACAAACAAUCUUCUUUUUUCAGACUGUAGACGUUUGGUCAACUUCUUCUACUGCAAAGGUCCGCAGAUGUGGUCCGCAGACUGCAAACAUUUUGCCUCAGAAAAAAUAAACAGCACCUAAGUGUUUCUAAUACUUUAGAGGAUCGGGGGAAGGUGAAGACUUGAUCGUACACAUCAUCAUGUGGAUUUUUAUGUUGAGAGAUGUUAUUUGAUACUCUGAAUUUUAUUACUAUGUAUUAGAAACAAUGAUGGUUGACUUAUGGUUUUUAUGAAAUGACUUUGAAAAAUUAAAAAGUUUACUAUGGAUUUUGGGACGUUACAAAAUCUCAUUUUACAAUAUAUUGUGUCAAACGUUUAUAUGUGAGAUAUUUAUUCCCAUUGAUUAUAUUCUAUAUUUUAUGCAACAACAAACUAAAACUUCAAAAAUAAUACCAAUAUGUUUAUAUAAUUACAUUUCAAAAAAUGAACAAAACGAUAAAAGAAGCGUAAAAACCUAUUACACUGUCAUUACAUUGAUUAUAAACUUAUUUUUUGGGCUACACAUCAGAAAAUUAUAAGGGAUGCAUUGCUUUUUCGUGGUCAAUAAAAUUUCCUCUAAUUCUAACAAGAUCUGCAAAAUGAUAUCGUUUUGCCAUAAGUCAAUCAAUCUCAUGCAUCCACACCGCCAAUCUAUUUUUCCUAUUUGUUAAAGGUUUUUUUAGCAUAAAUUUCCUAUUACUACCUCCGUCCCAUAUUGAUAGUCCACUUUUGAAUUUUGAAGUUUUUUUUCUUCAAUUUUGACCUUAAAUAUUUUUGUUUUUUGAUAGAUAACACUUGAUGCAAAAUAUAUGAAUGAAUUGUAUUUUAAUGUUUUUUCAUUGUUAUAAGUUUUAUCAAGUAAUAUAUAACACCAAUAAAAAUAUUUAAGAUCAAAGUUAAAGAAAAAAGACUUAAAAAGUCAAAAGUGGACUAUCAAUUUGGGAUGGAGGGAGUAUGUUUUUUCUUUCACCUCUGCUAAGAGAACGAUGCUAUCUUCCUUAGGUAUACAAUUCGCUUAUGGAUCCCUUCAGAUUAUCUUCUUUAGCUCACGUCAUUGCUUCGAAUAUAAUCACAUAACUGGUAGUGUGGAUAGUUCGAGCCAAAAUCAAUAAAUGGGUUAAGAUUAGAGUGGCUGGGUUGGGUUCAUGUUCAACUCAUUUAUUAAAUGAGUUGAAUAUUUCAUCCCAAUCCAACAUGUUUAUAUAAAUGGGUUGAUAUUUCCAACCUAACCCAACCCAACCUUUCAGAUAAAUGAGUUGUUAUCGAGUUGGCCUAUUUAUAUAGUUCUCAACCCAACUUAUUAAACAAAUAGGUUAAAACUGGGUUAACCCUAACAAAAUUAAAAAAAGUAAAUAAAUUAACUAAAGAUUACAAAACUUAAAUUAGUACCAAAUUUAAAUAAAAUUUCAAAUUAUAAAAAAACACAAUCCUUAUUCACAAAUACAAAGAAAUUGUUCAAAUAACAUUAAAUACAUUUAAUUUCGAAGUGAUUUUGGAGAGUGGAUAAUAUUGUCAGCGCCAAGAAAAAAAUAGAAAAUAGAUUUGCAUAUUUAAAAUACAUAAAUAAUAAUACAACAUUGUANNNNNNNNNNNNNNNNNNNNNNNNNNNUAUAGGUUUAGGUUCAAUGGAAAACAAAAAACCAUAAAAAAAACCCUAAAAAUCAUAAAAAUGUAUAAAAAAAUUACUUAGAGAUCACAAAUCUUUUUUUUGAAUUUUUUUUUAAUAAAAAAUCGCAGCUAUUUAUUAAAAUUCGUUGAAAAAAAAUAAAAAAUCAAUUUUUUUUUUUUUUUUUUUUUUAACCUAACUAAACCUAUUUAAUUAAACGGGUCAAAUGGGUUGAUCCAUUUAACUUAGCUAAGUUGAAAAUCUCAACACAACCUGUUCAUUUUGAGUUGGGUUACUCGAUUGAGAUUUUCAACCCAAAUUGUUCAUUUUGGGUUGAAUUCAGAUUGGGUUGAUGGGUUGGGUCAAAUUUUGUUGGUUCUAAUUAAGAUGGAUUCAAAUAUAACAACUUUCAUCUUACAAUGCUAAAUGUCAAGUUUAGAUCAACUAAUUUUACAAGGAAUAAGAAAAUGUUAGAAUUAAAACAAUUUAUAUAGCACUAAUAAAAAUCAUAUAUGAAUUGUAAUUAGUCUUAUUUGAAUUUAUAAAGAAGACGAUAACUAGGAAAAAAAAUACCGUUAACUUAAUUAUAAUCGUAUUAAAAAUAGUCACAUUUAUCAGCCAUUUUGCAUGACAUGUGAUAGCUCGUAGACUACAUUUUCGAUAUUGAUAAUAUCUUUGUAAACUUUAUAAAUUUUUUAUAAAAUUUUGUAAAAUAAUAAAUAAGAUAAGUCUAAUUUUGUAAUUAUUUUAAAAAAAGGAAAACAUAAAAUGUCUUGAAUAAACAAUACGAAACAUACUUGUAAUCGCUAUAACAAGAGCUGUCAUAUAUUAAAUUUAUCAUAUUUUAAAAUUGUCGUUCAAUUUGUAAAAUAAGUUUUUCGAAAUUAUUUUUGUAUGAUUGAUCAUAUUUUGCAAAAGGAAAAACAAGUAUGGAAAUAGCAAGUCAACUUUUUGUUUGAUCGCGGCGGGUGAGACGAGGCUAAUUAAUAGUUGACUUUGCGUACAAAGUCAACCAUGAUGGAGCAACUUAUGCCUGACUGAUUGGUUUACUCUUUUUGANNNNNNNNNNNNNNNNNNNNNNCAUAAGAUUGAAUGAGCGAUUCUCUUCUGGGCUCUUGAUUUAAUUAUUUUUCCAAGAAUGAUGUUUAUGGCAAUUCCAACGUCGGCAUAAACACAUUAAAAUGGUACUAAUUUCUUUUGCAACUCGGAUCAAUAAUUGGUGUUACGAUGUAAAGCAGCUAAUAUUACACCAAAUUAAUAUAUUAUUAUUCACCAAUAGUUGGUUUUUUGGUUUUGUUAGGAUAAAAAUGAAUGGUAGUCUAAUGUUUUUUGACGGUCAAUUGGAGUUUGUCUAAUGGUGCACAAAGAAACAUCAAAAUACUAUUCUUUAAUGUUAUAUGACUUUAAAAAAAAUCUACUACUAUACAUGUUUGAAGUUUGAAGUAACAAUAACUUUUUCAAUUAUCGUUAGGAGAAGUGAAUGCUCAAAAAAUAUACGUUUAUAUUUUAGCACUUUGCUUUUUCUUUAAUAGUUGAAUAUCUAAUAUAAUUCGUUAUGUAUUUUUCAAAGAAGUUAAAAAUAUACGUGCAAGAGGGGUUUUAGUUUGAUCCUUAUCCUACCGAAUCUUUCAUCUUUUUUAAAUGGUCACAACUCAUUGGUUGAAGUAGAAAUGUCAUGAUUUUUUAAAUACAUAGUUUACUGUGUGUACUUCAUUUUAAGAUUAUAUAAACAUCUUAUUUGGUUACAUAUUGAUUGAGUUACAACUCCCGAGACAUAAGAUAUCAAAGCUAAAUCUAUGUUGUUUCAACAUUGAGUUUACUAUUUAUACUUCAUUUUAGACUAUAUAAACACUUUAUUUAUUUAUAUAUUGGGUUAAUUUUUGUUGGUUGAUUUAGUAUUUUCAAAUCAUUUUGGCUAAAAGCAUUAACUAAAUCUACCAAAUGCAUAAGAACAUGUACCAGUUCCAAUAAGGUAUUUGACCAAAAAUCGAGUCUAGCAUUGUCAUCUAUGUAGGCUAACUGAUCCGGUUAUUGGUCCUUAUUGUUUGUGUGAAUUGGUUUGGUUCCAAAUCGAUUGCUCAACUUAAUUAUAGCUAAGCAUCAUUGGUUUUCUCAGCCUUUGGCUGACCAAAAUCGGGAUACCGUUUUGUUAGUGAUGUGCAUAAACUAUUGUAGAAAUGGUUAAUGACUUAUAAGGGUAACAUGUUUUGCUCACAAUUACUCAAUUAUUACUUUAUGUUUUUUUGUUCAUAUAUUACCAUUAAACUUGUUUGGAUUGUUCACAUUACAUCUUUAUGACAUACAAAAACCUACACUAACUAGUCAUAUGGAUAUAAUAUGAAUAAUACAAACAAGUUUAAUGGUAAUAUGUAGAUAAAAAAUAACUUAAAGAUAAAUGUUAACAAAACAUAAACUACAUUACUCUUUUAGAUCAUUCACUCCUCUUUACUUUUAAUAAAACAAUUUAUGCAUAGAUAUAGCAAAAAAAUCCCAAUAAAAGAAAAACAUUAUUAACACUAGGAUGUUGUAAAAAUAGUUCAUGAUGGAUGUAUAACUACUAUCAAGUUAUCAACAACAUAACUAAUAAAAAAUUGCAAUUUAUAUUUAAGACUCGAAAUGAAGCUGAAGUGUCCCUCUAAAAGUCCACAAUUGUAUAAGGUCAAAACUAUAACUUGAUAUACAUAUCAAAAUUAUUAGGAUGGGAAAAGCUAGUGAGACGUACAAUGACUGAUAAUAAAUAGAGGUAAUGUCGUAAAAACCUUAUAAUUGUAUUAGAUAAUUGUAUGUGAAAGAGAACUAUGAAAACUUGCAAAAAUACACUAUAAGUUACAUUGUGACAAACACAUCAUAAAGAAACAUUAUAUAUAUAUAUAUAUAUAUAUAUGCCAUGCAUGAUGAGUCAUUGUACUUUAUGUUAGAGAUUAAAGGGAUCAAAAUAACAAUAAAUACAAACUUGGAUAGAUUCAAGGAUCGUAUUUUCAAACACUUUUUGAAAUCCGUAAUUCAUCCCUUUUGUCUGGGGUAUACAAAUUCAGAUGUGGGAUAAUCCAAGAAUGAACCAACCCGUAUUACAGGCCUAAUUCAGAUUGUGAAACACAUAAUACAUUGUUAAUGUGUUCUUGAAAGAUUGAACAAAUCUUGAUAAACAUAUUUUGAGAAUAUAUUUUGUAACCUGUUUUCUGGAACAUGAAGAGUGUUCUUAUACAAAAGGGAAAUGUGGUUAUUCGCGGUUUCAUGCAGAUUUAGCAUCAAAACGGGUAGUUAACAGACAUAACUAACCCAUGGAUCAUCAUGAUGCCAUCAACUAACGCUUGCAUCACCAUCAUGAUGAUGUCAUCUGCCCCUUGGACCUCGCUAGGGGCGCUGCCCCUAGACCCUGUUAGGGGAUUUGCCCCUUGGAACCCCGUUCCCAGGGGAGCUGCCCUCAGACCCCCGUAUCUUGAGCUCAUAUUAACCACUCUGAGUGUGCACCCUGCACCUCUAAUCUCGGUGAGUGAAAUAGAACCCUUCCUAUCUGAAUAGUAAUAACAACUACACCAAAACAUGUUGAUAACACUAAAAUCACCAAUAUUCCUCCACCAUUUUUUUGUAAUCCUCAAUUAACUAAAAUCAAACACAAAAGAAGCUCAUGUAUAAAUGAAAAUAUCUUGAAGAUUGAAUUUUCAUAUUAGUAUAAUACACAUUUCAAAUACUCGAGAAUCAGGGUGUCCUAACAAUUAAACCCUUCAACUUAUUUGAGUAACUUAAGAUACUAUACACAUAAGUCAAACACAAUAUUUAAUGUUUCAUACUUGACACUAUUAUAGUCAUGUGUCCAAUCGAUUCAUGAGUGCAUAAAAGCCUAGACCAAGAUUUCUGAAGUGGCAACACUUCACACUCACAUAGGUAGUCCUUCUAUAUCAUGCACAUGUUAAAGCACUAUUUCAAAAGAACUAAUAAGAACUUAAUCAACCUACUUUAACUAUACAUGUUAUAAGCACAUACCUUGGGAUGUAGUAAAACAUAUGUGCUUCAAUCUCCAUAAGAAAGCUUUCUACAGUGAAUUCAACUUCUAACCUUGUAUUGGAAGGGAAUUGGGUAUCUCACCCAUAGAGAUAUCAAGUGGGCCUUAAACCCAUCCAUACAACAAAUUUAUUUACCAAGUCUCUAGUUAAUCCCUUCAUCAAGUGAUCAACUAAGUUUUGUUGAGAGCGAAAAAAACUCAAUAGAAAUGAUACCAUGAGUAAUGAGCUCUUGUACCAUAUAGUGCCUAACACCCAAAUGUCAUGACUUUCCGUUAUAGACUUGAGUAUAUGCUCUUUCCAAAGUGGCAGCACUAUCACAGUGGAUAUAAAUAGGUGAUAUAGGCUUUGGCCACAAAGGAAGUUUAUAGAUCAAAUUCCUUAACCAUUAUGCUUCUUUUCUAGUAGUUUCAAGGGCUAUAAAUUCAAAUUCCAUAGUUGAAUUUGUGAUGCAUUUUUGUUUCUUAGAAGCCCAUGAAAUGACACCUCCACUAAGAAGAAACACCCAACCACUUGUAGAAGAGCGAUCCUCAACAUUAUUAAUCCAACUAGCAUUUAAAUAUCCUUCAAUAAUUGAAGGAAACCGUACAUAAGUCAAACCAAAGCCCAUGGUUUUCUUAAGAUACUUAAACAUUAUCCUUACUGCUUGUCAGUGAUGAGCACUAGGAUUACUAGUAAUCCUACUUAGCUUUCCUAUAAAAAAACACAAUAUCAGGUCUUGUGCUAGUCAUGGCAUACAUUAAACACCCAAUAACCUUUGAAUACUCAAGUUGUGAAACUGCUUCACCAGUAUUUGGAAUAAGUUUCAUACGUGGAUAAAAAGGAGUACUUAAAUGAGAACAAUAUAAACAAUUAAACUUUUUAAGCACUUUGUCAAUGUAAUGAGACUGUGAAAUUGAGAUUACCUGAUACGCUUGAUUUAUUCGAAGAAUCAAUUCUGCCUCCCCAUAUCCUUCAUGGAGAAGUGAGAUGAUAAAAACUCUUUGGUCAUGUCAACUUACCUUUGAUCAGUACCAAAGAUUAACAUAUCAUCUGCAUACAAGCAUAUAAUCACUCCUUUAUCAAACUCAUAAAAUUUGCUAUAUACAUACAUUUGGUGAAUCACCAAAUUAUGACAUGUUUCUAAUUAUGGAAAUUACGGGAUUUGACACAGAGUUAGAGGUCGGUGUUUAGCAGCAGUGUGACUAGAGGAUGAUUCUUCGUGCCAGGUGAGUCUUCUCACUAUACGUUACCUAGAGUGGUACUUAUGUGUUGACUAGAGGGUCUUAUGUGCUAUGUGUUAUAUGUAUGUUAUAUGAUUGUAUAGACCGGACCGGAGGGUCCAACGAUUCAGACUGGACCAGAGGGUCCAACGAUACAAAUCGGGCCGGAGGGCCCAACGAGCUAUGACCAGACCAGAGGGUCCAACGAGCUACGGGACUGGAGGGUUCCGCUGAGACACAUCGACCGAAGGGUCGUACUGUAGCCUCGAGUGGCGUAUGUGUUGUAUGUGGUAUUUUGGGCAACUCACUAAGCAUUUAUGCUUACACUGUUUUGUGUUAAGUGUUUCAGGUACCAGUGAGGAUCGCGGGAAGGUGCCGGCAUGAUCAGUAUACACACAUGAUGAGAUUUUAUACAUUAUGAUCUUGGGCUGUAGUUAUGAAUUAAUAUGUGAACAAUGACAUUUUAUAAUAUUAAUGAAUGGAAGUAUGUUUUAAAAGUGUGAAAAAUUGCUUUGAAAUUUACGUCGUUACAAGUUUUGGCCAUUUGAUGAAAGUACAGUGUUAUAUUUCAAAGUCGGGUUCUUUUUGGGCAUGCAAAGUCACCAAGUCAGUGACUUUAUGGUUAUAGACAUUGAUUAUGACUUAGAUCUGUGAUUUGAGCUUUUGGUCUUAAGCAUUAUGUGCUUAUUGUGGAUAUGGACUUAUUGGGUGAGUAUGAUGGGUGUACAAGCUUGUACGCACGACAUGCAAGCCGUUUAGUCAGUACACUUAGCGUACAGAUGAGUACACCCCAUUAUAAAAGAAUGCUUGAAAUAUCUAAAAAUAGGUUAAUGCCAUUUUUUAAAGAUAACAUAGAAAAAUGUAAAACUUUUAUGUUAACUAAAAUAACUAGACAACCUUUUAUUAACGUUAGAGGAAUUAUGUUAUGCUUGAAUUAAUUCAUAGUGACCUAUGUGAUUUGCAUUGAAAUCCAUCCUUAGGAAAUAAGAAAUACAUAAUUACUUUUAUAGAUGAUUAUUCUCAUUUUUUUCUACGUAUAUUUGUUACAUUCCAAGGAUGAAGCCCCUUGAUAAAUUCAAAAUUUAUAAAAAUAAAGUUGAAUUGCAACAAAAUGAUUUAAUUAAAAGAUUUUGCUCUGAUCGUGAUGGAGAGUAUAGAUCUAACCCAUCAUUGAUCAAGUUCAUAUCUUGUUACCUCAAAUAAGCUUGAAAUGAAGCAAAAGAUCGAGAUCCACAAGCUCCUCCUUGAUCCACCACCAUGCACCAAGCUUCUACUUUUUGAAUAUGGAGUAAAACACACCAAAAUGGACACAAUGAUCUCAAAAUACAAAGGAGAGGCUUAUGGUUUCGAAUACGGGGAUAAAAAGUCCAAGGAGGCUUAGAAAUGAGGGUUUCAAAAGCCAUAAGGAUGAUUAUAUAAUGUCCAUUCUCGAAAUUUAGGGUUUUCAUUAAACACACAUACGCCCUGCGUACAUGGUUGUACGCCCCGCGUACGUGCCCGGAACCCGGAUAACCCUCACAUGAGUACGCUAAGUGUACCAUGUGGUACACCCCGCGUACUCACGUUGCAGCUUGUAUGCAAAGCGUACCAUUUGGUACGCCCUGCGUACAACAUAAAGACAAAAAUGUAACAACGUCUCAACUAGAUCAAAAAGAGAAACUUACCAAAAUUCAAGUGUUACAGUAUAACACUUAUUCCUUAAUCAUUAUAUGUUCAGGAUGGUGUUCAUGUUGGAUUAAGGUAUCUAAGUCAGUAACUAAAUUGGCAUAUUCUUGUAAUUAGAAGCAAAGUCCUUUUUGGGUUUCCCUCGUAACUAGAACUUGAUUACAAUGAAAUUUAUAGAGAGAAGACGAUUUGUUAGAUUAUUAUAUGAUUAAUAAACUAGUUAGAAAUUAUGAGGAAAUGAUUUAUUAAUAUAUUAUAUGAUUAAUAUAUUAAUUGGAAAUAGAUCGUUGAUUUGUUAAUUUAUUAUGUGACUAAUAAAUUAAUAUGAGAUCAAUUGUUAAAGUAAUUGAUUUGCUAAUUUAUAUUAUUAAUAAAUUAAUGAGAAAUUAAUUAGAACUGAUUAAUUAAUAAUCAAAAUUAAUCUGGAACUAAUUUUUGAUUACUUGGAAUUAAUUCAAUGUGCAAUGGGUGAAUUUUAAUUAUUCAAUAGUUGAAUAAAAGAGACAAUUAUAUAACGAUCCUAUGGUGUACAGCUUUGGGAGCCCUUCUAGGGUUUCCAAAAAGCUCUUGGAUCUUAAUAAGGUAAUUAUUUGAAUUGGAAUUAAAUCUGUUAUUUAAUUAUUCAAAUUUUGAAUUGUCUCUAAGUUACCUAAACUAUAAAUAGGGCCCCUUGGACACUCAAAUUCAUGACUACUAUUGUAACAUCUCAAAAAUACAGGCCAAAAAUUUCAUUUUAAUUAUGUUAUUACAUAAAACCAUCAGUAUAAAAACAUUCAUAAUAAUGUCUCAUGUCAAAACCCAAAUGUCAGUAAUCCAAAACAUAGUAUCAUAAAUCCAUAUCAGAGCGUAAUCCCCAAGGAUCUCAUGUGCGGAAAACAUAGUGUGAUGCGCUGCGAUCGAGCCGACUCCUUUCCUUUGAAAACGAAGUACCUGAAACCAAAACUGAAAACCGUAAGCACAAAGCUUAGUGAGUUCCCCCAUCAUACCACAUACCAUACAAUCACAUAGCAUACAUACUGUCGGGCAGUUCUGGGGUGCCCCACCUACCCGGUACAGCCAUUCUGGGGUGCCGAUCUACCCGGUACGACCAUUUUGGGGUGCCGAUACCUGUGUCAAGCCAUUCUGGGGUGCUGACCUACCCGUGGCAAGCCGUUCUGGGGUGCUGACCUACCCAUGUCAAGCCGUUCUGGGGUGCUGACCUACCCUUCGGUCCUAACAACCGAACCUCGGGGAUUAUUCCACCCCUACUGCUACUAUCACAUAUAUCAUAACAUAAACAUACUGUCAGACAUAUCUGGGGUGUCUGACCUACCCUUCAGUCCUAACAACCGAACUUGGGGACUAUUCCCCUUCUAUUACCACUAUCACAUAUAACAUAUCAUGCCAGCAUAUAAACAUAUCAUAACAUACUGUCAGACAUAUCUGGGGUGUCCGACCUAACCUUCGGUCCUAACAACCGAACUUGUGGACUAUUAUCCCCCUACUACCACUAUCAUAUAUAACAUAUUAUGCCAACAUAUAACAUAUUGAGUAGUAGCAAACCUAGAUGAAUAUCACAAAGACAAUCAUCUAACAUACAACCCUACUGGUGGGUCGGCAUUGUGGUCGUAGACCCACCGAUACUGGAAGGUAACUCACCUCACACUGAUGAAGUUCCGUAGACACAACCCCACACUGCUGAAGUCCCGUAGGCUCAACCUUAGCUGCUGGAUGACAGAUUCCCGAACUGUCAACACAAAAACAACACCCAAUUAAUAAUUGGGUCCCAACACAUAACCAUAAUACAUACUUGGAUAAUUACUACAUUACCCCAGGCUUGGCUUAUUUAAGCCCAAGGCCCAAUCCAUAGGCCCAAAGCCAACUAGGAAUCAAAGCCCAACAUAUGGCCCAAUUUUCCAAAUUGGGUCCAAGCCCAUACAUGAUCUCAUUCUGAGGCCCAACAUCAUAUAGUCAUUAAGGCCCAUUUAUGGCCCAAUUUUCCAAAUUCGACCCAACUCCUUAUAUGGGCCUUACCUCAAAGCCCAUUAAUUAUUCUAGUCCAUUUGCUUGAUCUUCGAUGGCCCAUUGAUACUCAAUCAUCAAGGUCCACUAAAAAGGCCCAACUUAAGGCCCGAGUGAAAUUAGGGUUUUACGUAAAAUGAUGAUUAGGGUUAAGUUUCCUACUUAACCCAUUAAGGACUUAAUCCACUAAGGACUUAAUCCAUUAAGUCCAAUAUUGCUUAGAUUAAUUUCUGCCAAUGAUUAUUAUUUAAUAUCACCAGUUAUCAACUAAUUCCCGUGUGUCCCGAUUAAUUCCCCAAAUUAGGGUUUUAUUGGCAUUAUAGUUUUUCCAACCCAAAUACUAGCCCAUUUAUCAAUUUGUUGGGAUUUUAGGUAAAUUAGGGCUUUGUUGGGCCUAUUAGGCCCACUAGAAUAUCAUUAAGCCCAUUAGGGUUUUAUUGGCAUUAUAGUUUUUCCAACCCAAAUACUAGCCCAUUUAUCAAUUUGUUGGGAUUUUAGGUAAAUUAGGGCUUUGUUGGGCCUAUUAGGCCCACUAGAAUAUCAUUAAGCCCAUUAGGGUUUUAUUGGGUCAAUUAGGGUCCAUUAAGCUUCAUUGGGCCCAUUAGGGCUUACAAGGCCCACUAGGGUUUUGUGACAUCCCCAAAAUCUCAGCCAGAAAAGACCGAUUUCAUUUAUGCUUUUUAAAAUAACUUCAGAGUAAAUCCUUUUGAUUUAAAAGUGUUGCGGAAUUGGUUCCCAAAACAAAACAUGAUAAAAUAAUAUUUAUCAAAACAUUUCAUCAAGAGAUGCAUUUUCAUUAUAUAAUCAAAACUCGGGAUGUCAUGUUCCGAUACAGACCAUAAAGCAUAAACGAUAACAUUACAAGUCAUUCAACAAAUAUAUACAUAUACAGACUUGUAAACAAAACAACUCGAUGAUUCAUCCAUCUUACGCCCUUGCGCCACUUCCUGUAAUACAAAUAAAACUGAGUGGGUCAGGCUUGGGAGCCUGGUGAGCAUAUAGGGUUUUCAACCCACAAUAAAUAAAUUAUAUUUAAUUUCACCAACCAAUCACUAUCCCGAUUACCCAUUCCCGUUAUCCUCACUUUACGUCCCUAAAACAACAUCUAUCUCAAGGGACCUAAUCUAGGAUUUUCAUCGGGACGGACAUUACUGCUAAGGGGUUUCCUGAACAAUAGAUAUCCUAAAGGCAACCAUGAGGGGGAUAGAGUACACCGGUGAACACAUCGUUCACAACACCUACAGGUUAUGAACNNNNNNNNNNNNNNNNNNNNNNNNNNNNNNNNNNNNNNNNNNNNNNNNNNNNNNNNNNNNNNNNNNNNNNNNNNNNNNNNNNNNNNNNNNNNNNNNNNNNNNNNNNNNNNNNNNNNNNNNNNNNNNNNNNNNNNNNNNNNNNNNNNNNNNNNNNNNNNNNNNNNNNNNNNNNNNNNNNNNNNNNNNNNNNNNNNNNNNNNNNNNNNNNNNNNNNNNNNNNNNNNNNNNNNNNNNNNNNNNNNNNNNNNNNNNNNNNNNNNNNNNNNNNNNNNNNNNNNNNNNNNNNNNNNNNNNNNNNNNNNNNNNNNNNNNNNNNNNNNNNNNNNNNNNNNNNNNNNNNNNNNNNNNNNNNNNNNNNNNNNNNNNNNNNNNNNNNNNNNNNNNNNNNNNNNNNNNNNNNNNNNNNNNNNNNNNNNNNNNNNNNNNNNNNNNNNNNNNNNNNNNNNNNNNNNNNNNNNNNNNNNNNNNNNNNNNNNNNNNNNNNNNNNNNNNNNNNNNNNNNNNNNNNNNNNNNNNNNNNNNNNNNNNNNNNNNNNNNNNNNNNNNNNNNNNNNNNNNNNNNNNNNNNNNNNNNNNNNNNNNNNNNNNNNNNNNNNNNNNNNNNNNNNNNNNNNNNNNNNNNNNNNNNNNNNNNNNNNNNNNNNNNNNNNNNNNNNNNNNNNNNNNNNNNNNNNNNNNNNNNNNNNNNNNNNNNNNNNNNNNNNNNNNNNNNNNNNNNNNNNNNNNNNNNNNNNNNNNNNNNNNNNNNNNNNNNNNNNNNNNNNNNNNNNNNNNNNNNNNNNNNNNNNNNNNNNNNNNNNNNNNNNNNNNNNNNNNNNNNNNNNNNNNNNNNNNNNNNNNNNNNNNNNNNNNNNNNNNNNNNNNNNNNNNNNNNNNNNNNNNNNNNNNNNNNNNNNNNNNNNNNNNNNNNNNNNNNNNNNNNNNNNNNNNNNNNNNNNNNNNNNNNNNNNNNNNNNNNNNNNNNNNNNNNNNNNNNNNNNNNNNNNNNNNNNNNNNNNNNNNNNNNNNNNNNNNNNNNNNNNNNNNNNNNNNNNNNNNNNNNNNNNNNNNNNNNNNNNNNNNNNNNNNNNNNNNNNNNNNNNNNNNNNNNNNNNNNNNNNNNNNNNNNNNNNNNNNNNNNNNNNNNNNNNNNNNNNNNNNNNNNNNNNNNNNNNNNNNNNNNNNNNNNNNNNNNNNNNNNNNNNNNNNNNNNNNNNNNNNNNNNNNNNNNNNNNNNNNNNNNNNNNNNNNNNNNNNNNNNNNNNNNNNNNNNNNNNNNNNNNNNNNNNNNNNNNNNNNNNNNNNNNNNNNNNNNNNNNNNNNNNNNNNNNNNNNNNNNNNNNNNNNNNNNNNNNNNNNNNNNNNNNNNNNNNNNNNNNNNNNNNNNNNNNNNNNNNNNNNNNNNNNNNNNNNNNNNNNNNNNNNNNNNNNNNNNNNNNNNNNNNNNNNNNNNNNNNNNNNNNNNNNNNNNNNNNNNNNNNNNNNNNNNNNNNNNNNNNNNNNNNNNNNNNNNNNNNNNNNNNNNNNNNNNNNNNNNNNNNNNNNNNNNNNNNNNNNNNNNNNNNNNNNNNNNNNNNNNNNNNNNNNNNNNNNNNNNNNNNNNNNNNNNNNNNNNNNNNNNNNNNNNNNNNNNNNNNNNNNNNNNNNNNNNNNNNNNNNNNNNNNNNNNNNNNNNNNNNNNNNNNNNNNNNNNNNNNNNNNNNNNNNNNNNNNNNNNNNGGAGGCGGCAGCCACCACCCUAAGGUGGUGGUUUUCAAUUUCUUUUCAUUAUACUUUAGCUAAUUACACGUUACAAUGCCUUAACCAAAAAUAAACACACACUAACUACAUUAAACACAUAUAAUGGUGGUUCAUGGCGGCAGCCACCACCUCACGGUGGUGGUGGUGGCUGUUCUUGGUAUUCCAACUAGACAAAACACACGUACAUAAACUUCAGAUUGCAUCCAACACUCCACCCACCCACCUGGUGGCUCAAGGCGGCGGAAGCAACACCAAAACGGCAGUAGAAGCAGCGGUUACGACGAUAGCCACCACCCCACGGUGGUGGCGGUGGUUUUUUCUUUAUCCCCAGCCGAGCAAACAUACACACACACUCGAACAUGCUCGGAGAGUAGUGGUAGAACAACAGCGUCACGAUGGAGCAUGUGCGAAUGAGCCUCAUCAGUGCCGGCCUUUUCCUCCUGAUGGCAAGAGCUGGUCGGAUGCAUCUCAGUCAUGACGAGCCCUUGGUGACGGCGCCGACAGUCGUAAACCGUUGUGUAGCUGCGGGAGAACACAUAGGAAGGGAUAACAUCAACCACAGCGAGUGUAACCUUUGAGCAUCAUGUCGGGAAACCGACUCCCCCUUCUCGUCAGCGGUGAGACGACGAUGGCGCUCCUGGUGUUCUUCGGCUUCAACUGCGACGGUGGCGACCUCAACGAAGGUGGUGGAGCGGCGUUGGAGAUUGUGAGAGUGGAGGUGGCGGCUGGAGAUCUCCGAUGAUAGCGGUUGCACCCUCUUAGUUAGAGUUAGGGUUUGCUGUGACAUAUAUAUCCGCCUCCACACCAUACUUGUUACCAUAAUGGCAAGACUAACCCCUCCCCAUGACAUUUUCUUUCAAAAUAAGGUCGUAUUUUACAAAGCAUCCCCCCAACAUCCAAAAUUCUUUCACAAUCACUCCAUAAGUUACCAUUUGAACCCCACCAUCUAAAACCCUUUACAAAUUAGGUCCAACUUUUACCUUUUCUACACCAGCUUCAGAAAAUCCCUUCAAAUUCGAUACCUGAUUUACCAAACAGCCCCUUAGCCUCCAAAAUAUCUUCAAAUGAAGUCCCAGAAAUUACCAUUUAGUCCCUGCCUCCAAUAAUAUUUAUGAAACCAAUCCAGAACUCACACUUUUAACCCCCGAAUUCUAAGAUUGUGACAGUUAGCUCUUCGAGACCAUCUUUUGAUAUAUAAUUAUUUAUUUUAGGGCUACCAUUUGUUCAUUAAUUUAUUUAUUUAUCUAAUAAAUAAACGGGGUGUUACAACUAUUUCUUACAAGCUAAUGAAUGAAAAUUUACACUCUCCUCCUCUCUCCUCAAGUGUCUUCUGGUUUUAGGGUUUGGGUGUGAGCCAUUUGAGGUGUCAUCCUUUUGGUGCUAGAUUUCCAAGCUCAUCAAAGGAAGGAUUGAAGCGAUUUUUUGCUACAACAAAUCCAAGGUAUAUAAAACCUUAACCUAAUUUCUUAUUUUCAAAAUAGAUAGGGUUUAUCUUAGGUUUCGUAUUUCAAAGUAUGUUGCCUUCAAAGUGAAAGACAUAGAUCCUUUUAGGUUAAAAGUUAUGAAGCUACUCAAGCCCUGUUGGCAUGUAAACAUCAAGAUGGAAAUUAUAUGUGGGCGCACGUCCUGAAAAUGAAGUUGUACAUUGACAAGUUGGAAAGGAUGGGUGUCAUAUUCCUAUAGAAACAAGCCAUUGAUUUGGUUCUUCUUUCGCUUCCUAAUUCAUAUGGUCUGUUUAUUGAGAACUUUCAUAUGAGAAUCUCAAUGUGACCAUAAUUGAUCUGACUCAUAUGUUAAUGGGUGCUGAAGAAGAAAUCCCUAAGAAGACAACUGAAGAAGAAAUGCUUAUAGGGUCUAAUCCCAAGAAUUCCAUGGGCAUUGAUAGAGAAAAUGUUAAUAUAUAAUAUAGAAAAUAUUUCUCUUCCUAAACAAAAAGGACCGACCAAGAUCAAACCUUUUGAUCGGAUGGUAAAGAGAAAGGCUCGUUCUAAGAUCAUUCUAGAUGUUGACCCUAAUGACUCCACUUGUUUAUUCUACCAAUUGAAGGAACAUUGGAAAUGAAGUUGCCCAACAUACCUGAAGGAUCUUGAAGGUGCUAAAUGUUGGGGUCAUAGUGUUGCGUCAUGGGUUCGGUCCUUAGCCCAGUUUUGUAGCCGGUGUGGGCAUGUCCAACCGUGGAUUGUUUUAAUCUAGGGUUUUAGUAUUUAAGGUGCAUGCAUGUAUCCUUGGUAGGUUAACGCUUAUGAGAAUUUCCUUUUGAUAAGUAUUGUAAACCCUAGCUCGCCUCUACAGCAGAAGUUCUUCAUCGAGCUCUGCUAAGGCAUGACUAUAUUUGAAUCAUAAGCUUCAUAUUGAUUAUGUUUUAUGUUCUUAAUUGUUGUGUGAUUGAUUUAUUUGUUCUUUGUCAACAUACCUGUGAAAGAUCUAAACGAUCUAGAGAUUUAUUCUCAUCAAUUGGUAUCAGAGUAGGAGGUUGUGUAAUUCAUACAUAUCUCUUAUGUUGAAGAAAUUAUUAGGGUGUUUCCGCAUUGACUGAUAUUAAUUGAGCCAUCAUUCCAUAUUGACGUGUCUCAUUAAUUGUCGAUCUGACUCUAACGAUAAAUUACAAGUCUGGUCUUAAACAGGUUAUCGAUCAAAAAUCAUCACAAUGUCUUUGGAUGACUCAUAAACUAAUCCAAUCAAUAUCUCUAAUAGCAUUGGAUCAACGACAAGGAUUCCAAUCUUAUAUACUCAGGAUUAUGAAGUUUGGAUGCACCACUUCGAAGAUUACGUGAUCGGAUUAGAGGAUAAUGGGUACUUGAUCUGGGAAGCAAUCACAACUGGUCCGUUUGCUCACUCAAGCACUUCAAAGAUUGUUAAAACUCAAAAAGAGUACAAUCAGCUCAUGAAUGAUGUGAAAGACAUUCCUCAAGACGAGAAAGAGAAGUUUCAAUGCAACAUCAAAGCCUUAAGAAUGAUUAGAUUUGAUUUGCAAUCAUACACGUUUCGAUUGGUGAGUUCAUGUGCUACAGCAAAAGAGAUAUGGGAUAGGUUGAAAGAGUUAUAUUCUACUGAUGAAGAUCUGGAACAUUCAAUUCAAACCUUACUGCUUUCUGAAUUUGGCGAUUUCAAAUAGAAGCCUGAAGAGAAACUCAUUCAGGUUUAUGAUCGGUUUAAUCAUCUUCUCAGUAAGAUGAUAAAGCAUGGAAUCGAGAGGAAGGUCAUUGAACAAAAGGUUACUUUCAUGAACGGUCUUAGACUCGAAUGGAUGGCAGUUGUGUCCACAGUAAAGGCACACGAACAGUUUAAAUCAUAUUCUAUGGCUAAACUGGUGAGAAUUUUAAAGUCCCAUGAAAGUGCAGUGUCAAAGGAAACGAACGUAGUUUCUAGUUUGGGAUCAUUAGCUCUUGUUUCAAAAGGAAAGAGUGCUGCUGACGAAGAAGAUGAAUUGGAUCUCAUUGACUACGAUCUGGCUGGUGAAGAGUAUGCCCUGAUGGUUUCCAACCCAAGAAAAUUUAUCAAAAGAAAGUUCCCAGUCAACAAGAACCAAAACUUGCAGGGAAGUUAUAGUUCCGAAAAAGUGAAGGAGGAACCGAAGAUGGGGUCAACAUCAAAAGAAUCCAAGAAGGAGUCAAAGAUCGGUGGUGACUUAGGUAUUGAUUUCCAUUAUUGUGGAGGAAAGAAUCACUUUGCCAAAGACUGUAUGCUAAAGAAAAAGGAACAGAAGGCAUAUGAGGCUGAUGAGGAAGCGAAUCUCCUGAGAUGAUUGGAGGAGAUCAAGAAAAGGAAAUCGACAGCUGACAAUAACACAAUGAAUGCUUUGAUUGUACAGGAUACUAAUGAAAAUGAUGAAUUUGGUGGAGUGCAGGUGUGGUACACUGACUUAGAGGACGAAGAAGUGAGAAAGAUGACUCAUGGCAAGGCUAUGCUGGUGAAAGAUAAACAUGUUGCGGGAAGAUGUUUGAUGGUGACAGAAGGUGUAUCACAGAUGUGAUGAUACACAACAGAUGGAGGGUUGGAAGAUGAGAAGGAGCGAGAGGACAAAUGUUUCGCUGCAAAACCUGUCAAUGCACAGAUCAACGAAUGUGAUGAGUUGAUCAAAAAGGUACAAAAUAUUCUUACCUCUCUGAAAAUUCCUCUCACUAACUAUGAAAAGGAACUAAACAACUUAAAAUCUAAAUUUUCUAGUCUAAGUAGUAGUCUUACUCAAAAUCGUGUCACAAACUCUAACCUGACUGAUCAAAUUAUCAGGAUAUCGUUGAAGAGUGAGGAAAGUAGGAUCUGGAUUGAGCAGAAGGAGAAACAAUUAAUUAGGUCUAGGGACGAGUCAAUAUAUUUGCAACGAGACAAUCUUAAGCUUUUAAAACAGCGAAACAUUUUUUGUUUAAUUGCGAAACGACUUUAUUUUAAUAUCACUCAAUUGCAUCUCGAUUGUGAAAUAGGAAAGAUGAUACAUCUCAUGAUUUUACCCUUCCUUGAGUUAAAGGAGGAUGAAGUCAAUGUCGAAGCUUACAACUGUGAUUAUGUUGUAUCUUCUGACGAAGUCUCUCCUGCCUACAAAAAUUGGUCUUGACAAAAUAGAGUCCUACAUAAAGUCAAAAGACCAUAAGGACAUGCUCAAAAAUCUGUUAGAUGAAAAUGAUAAAUUCAAAUUAAGAAGCAAAACUAUACAGAAAUUUGACUCUUUGAAUGCCAAAUUAAGUUCAGAAAAUAAAUUUGAAGUUGAAAAUGCAUCUGAACUUAAUGAGGAUGAUGACAUGAGUGAAAUCUUUGUAGAGGAUGUGGUGGACUGUUCAUAAUUUGUCAAAGGCGAACCCGAAACUAACAAAAAUCUGAUCUCUGAAAACUCCGUUGAGUUCGCUCGCUCAUCGACAUACAAGACCAAAGUUCUCAAGGCAAAAGCUGUUGUAUAUCAAAAGGUUCAAACCACUCCAAAUCAAGUCUACACAGUUUAGGGAGUCACUCCUUAACAAACAGCAGAACUGACAGCUAUGGUAGAGGAAGAUAAUGCAAAUGGAUGUGAGGAGUUCUUCUGGUCAACACCUAUAGAUAAUGCUAAUGAAACGAAAGGUCUUUCUCAGAAAACCUAAUGGAGAGUGAAGGGUAGGUACAUACCAGAGCCACUUAAUGAACCUAAAAAAUAUGAUGUGCCAAGUACAAGUGGAACCAAAACAUCUUCAGGCGAACCAGUGAUUACGUCUAGUGAGACGUGUUCGUCAAAGAGCGAAAGUCAUGCUCAUGUAUCGAAGAAAAAGGCCAAUAUUCAUAAAAAUCCAAAACAGGUGGUAGAGCGAAAACACCAACGUAAUCAGAGAUACAAGAAGAAUCUCUCAGAAAGAAAGCAAUUUUGGCGAUCUCAGAAUCCUCAUUGCGUAAGGUAUGAAAAGACGCAUAAGUUACGAGGAGAACCAAAAAGAAACCGAAAGGAAGGUUUCGGUCCUCGACGUGAGAGAAACCGAAAUGAAGGUUUCGGUCCUUGAAAUAAAGCGACCGAAAGGAAGGUUUCGGUCCUCAACGUAAUAUCAGCCGAAAGGAUGAGUUCCGUCCCAGGUUCAAUCAAACGAACAAAAGGGAAGAAUGUCCCCGUUCUCAACCUAGGAAGAGUGAUAAUCUACGAUCUAAUAUUGCUUCUAAAUCCUAUUCUUCUCAUUCUCAAUCUAAUUUUAUUCUUCAAAAGAUUCAAAGGGGAAAGGAAAGCUCCUUCCAGAAAACAACAAAUGCCCGAAAGAGAUCCAAAAGCAUGCAGACGUCAAAUUUUCAGAUCCUACGUCUAAUGAAUCUAAGCCAAACAAAAUCAAAGUUUUUACAAUAAAGAGAAAAGAUGAAACAACUCUAAUAAAAAGAAAUUAUAUGGUUGAUGUUUCGCUUUCUAUUUUUUGUCCUGUAAAAGGCUCACAAGGACCCAAGAAAUUGUGGGUUCCUAAAUCUGCUUGAUAUUUUGCAGCUUAUAUGUGACGAGCAGUUUGACAGAAAAUGGUACAUUAAUAGUGGCUGCUCACGUCACAUGACAAGACGAAAGGAAUAAUUGAGGGAGUUUCGAUCUCUCAAGGAUGGUGGAAUUGUGAAGUAUGGCAACAAUUCGUUUGGAACUAUCAAAGGCUAUGGAAUGAUAACGAAUGGUGAUUUCUCAAUCAGAAAGGUUGCAUACGUUGAAGGAUUGCAGCACAACCUAAUAAGUGUAUCACAGCUGGUAGUUGGGACCGGAUUGAAGGUGAUGAUGAAGGCUCAUAGAUUAUCGAAAAGAAAUCAAAUAACAUUCUGCUGAAGUCAAAGCGAAAGGGGGAAAUGUACCCUUUAAAUCUCAAUCCAAUUCGAGGGAAACCUGCAGUCUGCUUGCGAACGAAGGCUCACUCAGACAAAAGUUGGUUAUGGCAUAGAAGGCUCUCUCAUCUCAACUUCAAGGAUAUCAACAAGCUGGUAUUGGGAGAUCACGUCAGAGGUUUACCAGUUCUCAAAUUCGACAAAGAACAUUUAUGUGCAACUUGUGAAAUGGGAAAGCAAAGUCAACAAAGUCAUCCUUCUAUUAUCAACACAAAUGUAAUAGAACCAUUGGAGUUGUUACAUAUUAAUCUAUGUGGUCUCUCCUCCAUUGAAAGCAUUGGUGGGAACAAAUACAUUCUAGUCAUAGUUGACGACUUCUCUCGCUUUACAUGGGUAUUCUUGUUAAAGCAAAAAUCAGAGGCAACUCCUAAGCUUAAGCUCUUCAUAAAGCAAGUAGAGGUUCAAUUGAGAAAAGUAGUUCGUAACGUAAGAAGUGUAAAUGGCUUGGAAUUCAAGAACAAGGAUUUCGAAGAUUUUCUAGCUGAGAAGGGAACAACUCAUAAUUUCUCGGCUCCAUAUACUCCACAGCAGAAUGGAAUCGUCGAAAGGCGAAACCGAUCUUUGUGCGAAGCGGCUCGAACUAUGCUAAGCUUUGCUUCCAUGUCUUUAUAUUUCUGGGCUGAUGCCAUUGCUACUGCUUGUUAUACUUAGAAUAGAUCAUAUCUAAACAAGCGGUUCUAUAUCACUCCCUACGAGAUCUUGAACAACCACAAGCCUAAUGUGAAGUUCUUUCACGUGUUCGGUUCAAGAUGCUCCGUCUUUAACUCAAAGGAGAAUAGAAUCAAGUUUGAUACUAAGGUUGAUGAAGGAAUAGUUUUGGGCUACUCCUUGCACUCGAAGGCGUAUAGAGUUCUAAACAAACGCUCAAAGAAAAUUGAAGAGACAUACUAUGUCACUUUCGAUGACAAUUAUGUCAAGAAGUUGAAGACAACUGAAGAUGCGAUGCAUGAAAUCUUUCCAAAAUCAAGUCAAGUUACGAUACCAAUCUCAGAUAUCUUCGAGCAAUACAUGCUUCUCUUCGAUGAACCUAAAAAAGCUAUCGAUUCUGAAUCCAAGGCAGAAGAUAACAAAGUCGACAAUCUGAAGCAAAUCAUUGACGAUGCUACACAGAAGAUGGCUGCUGAUCAACCAAAGGCAACCGAUAGGCCUGACUUAAGUGAACCUUCUGGUGACCGACCUUCUGUCCAGGGGGAGGGUUCGCAUCUACUAAGGAUCAAGGUUCUCCAUUUCAGGGGGAUAAUUCAACGUCAACGUCACAAUCAUCUAGCUCAACCGAAAGUCCGAAUGAUGGGAAACAUUCUGAUCCAGAAAUUGAAACAGAGUCAUCAUUCGGGGGGGGGGGGGAAUAUAAAUGUCCAUGACGAUGAGACACUAUCAGAAUUGGAAGAAUAAGUCAAUGCAGAAUUGGGUCCCUCUUGUGAUCCAAAUUACCCUCCUCUCAUUAAAUGGACCAAAGACCAUCCUCAAAGUCGAAUCGUUGGGGAAUCUUCAGAAAAAGUGUUAAGUCGAUCACAGAUCAAAGCGAAACAGGUUGCACUAUUCUCUCAAGUAGAAUUUUGCAUGUUUAACUCCUUUGUUUACAAAGUUGAACCGAAAACCGUGAAUUCGGCUCUUGACCAUUCUGAUUGGGUUCAAGCCAUGCAAGACGAGUUGAACGAGUUUGAAAGAAAUAAAGUAUGGCGUCUAAUUCCAACUCCAAAAGAUGCUUCGGUUGUUGGUCUCAAAUGGGUAUUCAGAAACAAGAUAGAUAAGGAGGAGAAUGUGAUUCGUAACAAGGCCCGGUUGGUCUUAAAAGAAUACUGCCAAGAGGAAGGUAUCGAUUAUGAAGAGCCCUUCGCUCCAGUUUCAAGACUAGAAUCGGUCCGAAUCUUUCUUGCUUAUGAUGCACACAAAAACUUUGAAGUCUAUCAAAUGGACAUAAAGUGUGCUUUUCUCAACGGAGAACUUGAAGAAACUGUGUACGUUGAGCAACCACCAGGUUUCAUGAACGAAAAGCAUCCAGAUCACUGCUACAUUCUAGACAAAGCGGUAUAUGGCCUGAAGCAAGCUCCCAGAGCAUGGUAUGAAACUCUCACUUAAUUCUUAAAAAUGUCCAAGUUUAAACAAGGUUCGAUUGACCCAACCCUCUUUCGUAAGAGAGAAGGUAACCACCUUAUGAUAGUUCAAAUUUACAUUGAUGACAUCAUCUUCGGCUCCACGAAUCCCAGCUUAACAACUGAAUUUAGGAAGUUGAUGGAAACUAAAUUUGAGAUGAGCUCAAUGGGUCCAAUUAAGUUUUUCCUUAGCUUAAAUAUUAGACAGGGACUUGAAGGCAUUUUUAUCAAUUAGGAGGCGUAUACAAAGACAUUGCUUGCCAAGUUUGGCAUGAUGGGAGACUCCAAAGUAAAAGUUCCUAUGGCUUUUGGAACUAAGCUUACAUCAUCUUUGGAGAAGCCAGCUGCUGACAUGACCCUUUAUCGUCAGAUGAUUGGGUCACUGAUGUAUCUCACAGCCAGCAGGCCAGACAUCAUGUUCUCAGUCUGCUGUUGUGACCGAUUCCAAGCUAACCCACACGAACUGUUAGGUCCGGAUCUGGAUCUUUUACUAGUAAUCAAACAAUCACAAGUCGAGAAUAACAAUAAGAUGAAUAAGAAUUGAUCUUGCACACGUUUAUAUCAAAUAACCGCCUGGUACAACUCAAGUGGUAGUCGUAAACUGACUGGCAUCCAACCAUACAAAUGACCAACUCCUAGCCCUUAUAUACUCGUCUAGACAACAAACGGAGUUUGCGGCCGUAAACGUGUUUACGUUCGUGAACUUGACAAAACAGUAAACGACUCUAAAUAAAUCAAAAGUACUAUUACAGACUCAUAACCAAACAAAUCACAUAGAAAUCCUAGCCCAAAACAUUUAUCAGACCCUUCAAUCUCCCUCUUGGUUUGGUGAUUCAGUCCUUGUCAACGACCAACACAUCAGAUCUCCCCAUUGCUCCAUUCCAUAUCCUCUUGUCAACAAUUGUAGCCACCAUCCGUGUGUAUUCUUUUGCGGCAGGCUCAAACAACUCAUCAGCAACUAUAAUCUGAUGAUUUGCAAGUUGAUGAAUGUCCCGCUCGCCAAACUGAAGUAAAUCCCUUUUGUCAUACAAGCGGAUGCAAUCUUCUUUGAGCUUGAUAACAGCAGCAUCUGAUGCAUCAUCAUACACCCAAUAUUACAUAGAAUGUAGAGAUCCAUCAGGACAGUUUUGAGGAACCGGGAUAUGUUUGACUUGAGCAGUAGAAGGCCACAUUACUGCUCGAAUAGGCUCAUUGGUCUUGGGAUCAAAUACACGCUUGUGAACUUCAACAAAGGAUUCCGCAGUUUUCAUUGACGGAAAACCCUUGGCCACUUGAUCUUCCAAGAAAGAUUUGAACUGACUGGCUUUGGGAUUUCCUAAUGGAUUUGAAAAGGGAGCUUUGGAUAGCUCAAUAAGGUCAACCUUAGUAAAAGAGUGAAAAUCAUGAGCAUCCUUGUAUAGUUCCUUAUUCCCGCUCUUCCUUCUCACCAUAAACAUGUUCUGUGUGUCAUGGAAUCCCCAUGACAUGAUUCCUGACCUAUCACCAUAGACAUCCCUGAAAGUUCGAGUGCUUAAAUCCGUGAAAGUUAUUCGAGGCCUAUCCCAAGGUGCUUUAUGAUCCACACUUCUUUUGAAUAACCAUUUGCCUUUGUCUGCCAAUUUGUCAGCAGCCUUCUUCCUUUAAGCACCUUUUGCUUUUGCCGCCCUGGAAGCUAGUUCUGGAUCCACUUCAAAGCGAUCCACAAUGAUGGGAGAUCUGAUCGGUUGAGAGGUAGUAGGAGCAUCAACACUAGGAGCCUCUGGAAUGGGGGGAUCAACAUAUGGUUCUUCAACAGUUGACUUAAAUUCAUCACCGAAUUUGUCUUCAAGUUUCUUUUGUAACUCCAGGAAGUUGGCAGCCAAGUGACCAUAUUGUGUCUGAAGGUCAACAAUUUGCUUAGUCUUCAGAGCAUUGUCUUCACGAAGCUCGGCCACUUGGAUACUGAGCUCUAUAUUUUCAGAUUGAAGGUCUGUGACCUUGAUGAUUAGCUCAAUAUUCCUUUGAUCAAGAUCAACAUUCUUCCGAUUGAUAAAGUCAAUCUGACUUUGGAGUCCAUGGAGUGAAGGGGUGUCUUCUCUUGUGUUGUCACCUCCAAUGAAAAUUCCUUUGCCACGAGGAAGUGGUGUAGAGAAUUGUUCUACAGCCAAUAGUCGGGCUAACUUAACCGAGGCAUCAUCUUUGUCUGGCCUGGGAGGAGAGAAAUCUGUUUGAAAUGAGGAACCACCAGCUUAAAAUACAGUACUGGGACCUUCACUGAUAGGUUUAGCAGAGACUAUAACAGGCGUGAUUGUCGGUGGAGCUGUAGCACUUUGAGUCGUCGAACUCUAAGUUGCUAGUCUCAGAACGAGUUUGCGUUGCUUGUUUGGAGGAGGAGUGGCUUGUGUGGCGGUGAGAUCAUCUUCCGUUGGCAUAGAUUUUGGCAAACCAGUAUCAAGGGGAGGAAUCCCUGAUAUUUUCACCAUAGGAGUUGCUAUUUCUGCCUCUGGAUUGGAAACAAGAGGUGCAGCUACGAGAACGUCUUCUUCUUCCCUUGUCUCGGUUGUCACAUGAACAACUUCAUUGACAUUGUCGAGCAAGUUGUCAAGGUUUACUCCGGUCAGAAAAUCAUCAUUGCUACCAAAAUUCAAUGGGAUAUCAUCCUUAUCAAAUCCCGUAAGGUCAACAUCCUCAUAUCCUUUAUCAUCGUUUCCUGUUCCCUCGUUGUAAUUACUCUGCACUUGAACAGAUUGUAAUUCGUGUUCGCCAUCGACUUGAGCUUUUGGAUCUAGAGUCUCAUUGUCUUUGUGAUCUGAGACAGUGAUGAUGAAUUCAAAAGACACUCUUUCAGAUGAAGUCGGAUCUGAUAGAGUUUUCUCAGAAGUUCCAUGAGAUUUAGAUGACUCAUUAAUAUCUGCAAACUGUCCAAACUUUACCAGAGGAUGCAAACCUUGAAACAGGACCUUGCCCUUUCGAUUCUGUUUGAUAAGGCCAACAGUGUGAGGGCCCAAGGAUUUUGUGUCCAUCUUAUCACCAUCUUUGACCAUAUUGGGGAAUUGAUCAUCAAUGAAAACUUGAAUAAAUCUGGGAUACAUAAAAAACGCGUCUCUAGUUCCUCGAGUCAUGGCGCCAAUGUUUACCAGGAAUUCAUCAAAGACAUACUUCGAGAAAUUGAAUUUGUUGCCGGCGGCCAAGGAAACAAUUGCUCCUAUAUUUCUAAUAGAGAUCUCAUCUGCUCCCGAUCUCCUUCCUGACAUGCAACUGAUGAACACAUGAGCCAAGAAACGCCAGUAGGGAGGCAGAAGCUUCUUCACAGUUGGAGGAUAAGAACCCUCGUAUCCCAUCCUGUCAAGGAUUCAUGGUAUUUCUUCAGCUUCAGCUUCAGUGGGAUAAUCAGGUUCAUCAAUGAUUAACACGGUGUCUCUGAUAUACUGCUCUGAAAUUCUGAUCUUGCAAUUUUGCACCACUGCUUCGAUAAUCAGCUCUUUAUUCAUCUUUAAAAAAAAAGCUAUAAACCAAGGGGGAGAUUGUUGGGUCAAUAUUUUGGUUUAUACUUUGCUUUUCUAGGAAAUUGAUUUGUUAUGUAAUAUUGUAUAUGUGUUUACGGUCAGGAAGUGAGUUUACGACCGUAAACUCAGUUUGCGGCCCAGUCCAGUAUAUAUAGGGGUGAGGGGUGUGAGGAAUAGAAUGAUGAACACUAGAGGAGCUUAAGUGUGUGCAUUUGAAGGUGUUCUAGAGAGAGAAAAGAGAGUGUGUGUUAGUGUGUGUGAAUCUUGUAUCCGGAUCUUCAUUCAUAUCAAUACAUACAAGAUUCAUCAUCAUCUUCUUCUCCUUCUCUUCUAUUUGAUCUGACAUCAUCCGUUUGAUUGGGAUUCCGCACCAUCAAAUGGAUCUGAUUGAUACACAAGCAGAUUAGGGACUUAUAAUUGGUAUAUGUUGGGUGCAUUUCAUGUACCCAUUUUGUAGCUUUAUUUCAUAAAAGUACAUUACAUAUAGGCUUAAACUCAUGCAUUUUGCAUGUUUUUCGGGAUUUUUCAUGAGGCAAUUUCAUUCAAAUACUUUUGUGAUAUUUCAGGGACUUUUGGAGGUAGGAUAUUGUUGGAAGAGGUAAAUAAAAGUUGCGGACGAAAUUUCAGGACUUGCGGAGCACCGAGGAGCAAGAUAUCAAAGAAAUGAAGAUUUUGGCUUCAUAGAGAUUUACAUGGCCAUGUAAAUGCAAGCCUUGCGUUUAAGCGGGCCGUGUAAACGUAGAUUUCUGUGCAGUAUAUUUUUGCGUUUAUGCGGGCCGUGUAAAUGACAGUGUUAAUUUAUGCGGGCCGUGUAAACGUAAAUGCAGGUUUUAAAGUAGUUUUUCACCAUUUUUAAAGGGGGGAACCGACUUUUUACUUUGGGGGGUCGACUUUUGGAGUAGAGAAGGCGAUUUUCUGGAGGAUUUUGAAGUUGAUUAACACUUGGGGACAUUUGAUUUCAUUUUGUAAGAACUUUAAUUUCAUUUUCUAGAUUUGUGAUCUUGUUCUAGUCAUGAGUGGCUAGAACCCUAGAUUCUCCAACUUUAUGUCUUGACUUCUAGUUGUGAUUUCAAUCAUAUGACUUCAUGUUUUCUUUCAAUUUUCUAUCUAGUGAAUUUGAUUUUGUUUCAAUCAAAUGUUUGAUUCUAAUUGUGAUUUUUAUUGGCCAUUUGAAUUAGGGUUAGAUCAUUCAAGUUAUCUAAUUGCAAAAUCCGUAAUUGUUUUGUAAAUUGGACUAGGUAACAAGCACUAAACUGAUUUCUAUUGAAUGAAUUUAAUGUAAAUCUUAUUCACACAUUCUUAUGCUCCCGAUCUUAUGAGGAGUGUUGAGUGUUGUCGGGAACAUUCACAUAAAGUUUAAUGCAAUCUUUCAACCUAAUUCUAAGAGCUUGUUUAGAUUAGAUUGGUAAGGUUAGGAUUAAUCAAAGAGCUUAUUUUGGUUAAUCAAUGUGGUGAAUGGGGGGUGCUAGAUCUUGUUAGCAUUUCCAUGUACCAAUUUAGAUAGAAUUGAACAAAUAUCAUUUCAUCCUUGGAAUCACAUUGCUAAUUUGUCUUGCAUGGAGUUGGAGUCCUUACAAAUCUUGAAUCUACUUCAUUAAAUCAAUCAUUUACUUAUUGCUUUAUUCUAUAGUUUAAAUCAUUGCUUAUAAAUUCCCCCCAUUCUGUGACCAUUUUUGUACCUUACGCAAAAAGGUAUAAACACUUGUCCCGUGUCUCUGUGGAUCGACCCUACUUACCUUGUACUACAUUAUUAGUUCAUAGUAGUAGUGUUUAAGGAGUCAUUUGUACCCUUUAUUUGUUAGGUUUGACACGCCUAACAAAUUGGCGCCGUUACCGGGGACACGGUGUUACUAAUUGUUUAUGUCAAGCAUUUUGUGAGCAGGUGCUUUCAAAAAAAAAUCAGGUAGAAGAUAAGUUUUCAAUUGAAGGAAGUGGCGAGAAGGUUAAUGUGUUGUAAAGGCCCACCUACUUAGAACAAAACAUAUUCAAGGGCCAAGUCGAGCCAACGACUUAAAACAAGGGCAGCUAACCGGGAGGCAACCCGGGGUUAUUUGUUUCCUUUCUUUUAAAACUUUUUAGUCUUUGGUAAAUUUCAAUUUUUUUAAUGUCCCAAAUGGUUUUAAACUUAUUUUUUAUGCCUAGAAAAUAAAUCUCCGGCUCAAAAAAUACUUCACGAAUAGCUUGGGGAGGAUGAAGCAUGAGGUUCUCACCAUAAUUGCAAGGCUCCAAGAACGAUUUGGUAAAUUCUUUCCAUAUCUUUAGUCGUUCAUAUUUUGCUUAAAAAUUCAAUUGGUAUGCAUCUGUGACUGUUUUGGACUCAUUCCCAACCCAGCCACCAUCCUCCACCAUCCGACUCUUAAUAGGCCGGCCAUGCCUCUCUCCAAGCAUCGAGGACGAUGCUAUAUUUUAAGCUUCGGGAGGGGCAUCCAUCCAUGCAUAAAUCCCGUUGCAUGUAGGUUGCAUGUAGUUUUGUACAUAUUGCAUUAAUUUUCAUUUCAUUUUCUUUUUCAUUUUUUUUCUUCAUGGAAAAUUUUCAAAAACCAAAAAGAUUUUCUUUCUUUUCUAAUUUUUAUUAUUUUCUUUGUAUUUUGUUUGCAUUUAAAUUUUUGCAUUGCAUUCAUUGCAUAAAUAAAAUAAAAAAAACGAUCCAAUCCCUAGCAACCGAAUCUUUUCAAAACAGUUGAGCUGGUAAAUGAGUCAUGUGCCUUGAAAGUGGCUUGCUCUUUUUAUUGAAAAAUCUAAAAGAAAGUUAAUCACACACAAACACACCUCCCGAAGUUACUUGUGCAAAACAGAAAGUGAGAAGAUUGUCAACAUUGGAGCAUAACAACAGGUAUGAGUUAAUUCUUUGGGACAUAUGACCGAUCUUAUGAGUAGUAAUGCUCAAUUGAACUUAAAAUGCCAAAUUCAUAAGUUCAUAAAAAGAAUACAAAAUCUCAAUGUUCUGAGCCUUCCAACGCUCUAAAAAGUCAUUUCUACUCAUUCCCUUUUAUAUACCAUGCUUAGGGACAUAGCUUCCAACUAUACCUACAGGUCUUUGCAUGUUGACCUUUAGUCCCCUGAAAAAAGUCUAGAAGUCCCUCAAGGUAAUAGACCGUGAGAUGUCCCACAAUAGAAAAGUUAAGGACAAAAAUAUAAAGAAAUAGGCCUAGCAAAUAAAUUAAUAAGGGUGUUAUAUGUUAUCUUAUUUAUAUGAAACAAUUAUAAAAUAAUAAUAAAAAAAUAAAAUAUAUAUUAUUAAGUUAAUCUGUGACCUUUGGGACUUGAGCAAGUAAACUCUGAGGGGUGUUUUACACCUAAUCGCCUAAAGCUAAAUUGUUUGGGACUGAUUGAGUUGAAAAUUCACUACACGGGUUACAUAGAAAGUCAUGAACUUAAUAUCCAAAUAAAGCUAAUCUAUGGCCUUUAAGGUUCGGGCAAGUAAACCCGAGGGAUCCUUUUAAAUCUAGCAUACUAAGGUCAUUUGAUCUGGAUGUGUUGGUUGGAAGCCCGUUACACGGAUUUCAAAGAAAGCUAUGAGCUUUAUUUGUAAAAAAAAAUGUAAUUAGGAAGUUUGUAUAUAGUUGUGUUUAUAGUUUAAUUAAAUAUUAUGUUUAGGAAAAAUAUUUGGCUGCCAAAAGAUUCCCUUGGACUUGGAUUUGAACUUAUGACAUUGGGACUGAAUGUUAAUUACUUUGACUGGAGUAAGUGGUUUGAAUCUUGUAACCAAUUUGGGUAAAUAUUAGGGAAUUUUUAGAAAAGAUUUUUCAGAAAAAGAUUGUUGUUGAUCAACAGAUAGCUGGGGUCGAUCAUUGUUAUAAUUUGUGAAACAAAGAUGAUUGAGCAUGUUUUGUCACAUACAAUUUCACGAGAGUAAGACCAUAAUUUGUUCUAUUAAUUGACUUGCUAAUAUUGAGAGGGAAUAAGCGUGGUGAUCUUUGAUUCUGUUGAGUUGUAUUAGGGAGUGGCUAAGGUCUUAUUUCUAUUGUUAUAUAAUAUUUUGAGACUAAAGCCAAGUUGACUCAAGGCAUGACGGGUAUAUUCUCAACUAUGGUACAAAACAGGGUUAAUUGGGUUGAAUAUAUUUUUUCAUGUUUGUUUUGAUUUCUUGCAUCAAGUUUCAAAAAAAAAAGUUUAACUUUGAUUUUCUUUUCUUCUCUUUUAUUUUAUUUUCUCCAGUUUAAAUUUUCUUGUUCUUUCUUGAGGACAAGAAAGGUUUAGGCUUGGGGAGAUUUGUUGGGUGCAUUUCAUGUACCCAUUUUGUAGCUUUAUUUCAUAAAAGUACAUUGCAUAUAGGCUUAAACUCAUGCAUUUUGCAUGUUUUUUCGGGAUUUUUCAUGAGGCAAUUUCAUUCAAAUACUUGUGUGAUAUUUCACGGACUUUUGGAGGUAGGAUAUUGUUGGAGGAGGUAAAUAAAAGUUGCGGACAAAAUUUCAGGACUUGCGGAGCACCGAGGAGCAAGAUAUCAAAGAAAUGAAGAUUUUUGGCUUUACAGAGAUUUACACGGCCAUGUAAAUGCAAGCCUUGCGUUUACAGGCCAUGUAAAUGCAAGCCUUGCAUCUACGCGGGCUGUGUAAACGUAGAUUUCUGCGCGGUAUAUUUUGUGUUUACGCGGGCCGUGUAAAUGACAGUGUUAAUUUACGCGGGCCGUGUAAACGUAAAUGCGGGUUUUAAAGCAGUUUUUCACCAUUUUUAAAGGGGGGAACCGACUUUUUACUUUGGGGGGUCGACUUUUGGAGUAGAGAAAGUGAUUUUCUGGAGGAUUUUGAAGUUGAUUAACACUUGGGAACAUUUGAUUUCAUUUUGUAAGAACUUUAAUUUCAUUUUCUAGAUUUGUGAUCUUGUUCUAGUCAUGAGUGGCUAGAACCCUAGAUUCUCCAACUUUAUGUCUUGACUUCUAGUUGUGAUUUCAAUCAUAUGACUUGAUGUUUUCUUUCAAUUUUCUAUCUAGUGAAUUUGAUUUUGUUUCAAUCAAAUGUUUGAUUCUAAUUGUGAUUCUUAUUGGCCAUUUGAAUUAGGGUUAGAUCAUUCAAGUUAUCUAAUUGCAAAAUCCGUAAUUAUUUUGUAAAUUGGACUAGGUAACACGCACUAAACUGAUUUCUAUUGAAUGAAUUUAGUGUAAAUCUUAUUCACACACUCUUAUGCUCCCGAGCUUAUGAGGAGUGUUGAGUGUUGUUGGGAACAUUCACAUAAAUUUUAAUGCAAUCUUUCAACCUAAUUCUAAGAGCUUGUUUAGAUUAGAUUGGUAAGGUUAGGAUUAAUCAAAGAGCUUAUUUUGGUUAAUCAAUGUUUGUCUUGCAUGGAGUUGGAGUUCUUAUAAAUCUUGAAUCUACUUCAUUAAAUCAAUCAUAAUCAUUUACUUAUUGCUUUAUUCUAUAGUUUAAUCAUUGCUUAUAAAUUCCCCCCAUUCUGGGACCAUUAGUGCAUAGUAGUAGUGUUUAAGGAGUCAUUUGUACCCUUUAUUUGUUGGGUUUGACUGAUUUUUUUUUUUGGCGUCAAGCACAUUCGAAAUUUUUUCAUUUAUUGGUUGUAUCAAUCAAUUUUUUUCAGAUCUGGAGCUUAUUUGAUCUUAUUUUGAAGAGAUUUUUGCGUUUUUGGAUAGAUCUCGCAUCAUCAGCUCUUUAUUAUAAAAAGAAAAAGGAUUUAGAGGUGCCAAGGUUCGAACUCAAGACCUCUAACACUUCAAACCACGCGCCUUAACCAGUUGAGCUACUCGGGAACUUGUUAAACAGUUUGAUUGUUUAAACUUUAUACACUUCUCAGCAGCAGCAAGCUAAGCUCGCAUCAUCACAUCGCCUCGUUCAGCAUCCUCGCACCAGGUCCUCGCCUUCGGACUUCGAACUAGCAUCUCGCAUCGGCUCGCCCCUCGGAUCCACGACCUCGCUUCCUCCUCGCACAGGAGCUGCAGUCUUCGUCUUCGCACUUUAAAAAAAAUCAAACGCACAUUGGAGGAGCCGAGAAUCGAACCCACGACCUUUGAUUCAUCAACCCGGCGCUUUACCAACUCCACCAGCAACGAAUUUAUUCCUUCCGUACCAAAUUUUAAACUUAACCGCUCCUUGCCGCUUCCUAGUUUCGCAAAUUUUACACUUUUUGCCCAAAAAUCAAUUUCUUUUAUUUUUAAGCUCCAUUUUCAACCAAAAAUUAUAGUUUUUAAAUUUUGAUUUUGAUUUUUGACUUUUUACUUAAAUUUUUGACUUUUAAAAUUUGACCUUUGACCUUAAGCUUUGACUUUCUCGUUUGACUUUUAAAUUUUCAAAUUUAGCUUUUCGGUUUGACUUUUAAGUUUGACUUUUCAAGUUUGACUUUUCAAGUUUGACUUUUUAAAUUUGACUUUUAAGGUUGACUUUUGAGGUUGAUAGUCAAAGGGAAUUUUUAAAUUUAAGUUUGACUUCUAGUUGUGUUUUUAAUAGUUUUUGAAGUUUACGAGGGAAUUGAAAACAUGAAAGAGAGUCGUCAGGAGAUGUUAAGACAAAAUUUCAACAUGUUCGAUUAUAUCCCUGGAGAAACCUUGGAAGCUCAGUUGCAGCUAUUUACCACACUCACUACUGAGAUGAAUAUCGUUGGGAUCUUCUUGUCCAAAUCUGAGAUAAACAAAAAGCUAUUGAAUUCACUUUCGAAAUCGUGGGAUAUGAACGUGACUGUCAUCAAGAAGACAAAAGAUCUCAAUCGUCUUAGUCUAGCUGAUAUAAUUGAAGAAAUUGACGCUUUGAAGUGUGGAAAAACAAUGAGUUCCACAAACCUCCCGGUCAAUGAAGUUUCAUGUUCUCAAUCAUGUGAAGUUUCAUGUUCACAAUCAUGUGAAGCUACGAUUAAACUUCUUCGUGAACAUAAUGAUUUAUUAAAAAGAGAAGUUGAGGACCUGAGAUAUGAAGGAUAUUAACUCAGGAAAGGACAGAAACCCCUGAAGGCCCAGUUAGAAACAAAAAUAAAGGAUUUUAAGAGAAUUCAGACAGAAUACAGUGAAAAAUGUGAACUUUAUGACUAUAUUAAGAGACAACUUGAUGCUGUAACCGAAGAACUUGACGCUUUGAAAACUAAGUGUGGAAAAAACAGAUGUUAGUUUCAAAAAUUAUACUGCGUCAAGUAGGACAGUCGAGUCCUUAUUUAAAACCCAAUUAAAAUUCAAAGAUAAUCAAAACAAGGGUCUAGGGUAUGAUAGUGUUCCUCCACCUUUCAAUCAUAACUACACAUCCAUCCCAAUGACAAGGAAGAAAUUGACAAGGAGGCACAUCUUCGAUAUGGCAAGCCAGUUGGAUUUGUGUCAGGAGGUAUUCAAGUUGAAAAUACUAAUGCUUUUACAUUAUGUGCAGGUAAAGUAGCAGAGGAUGAGAACAAGGAGAACACCAUUGAACAAACCAACAUCUCCUUGAACUUUGAAUUUGUUGCUUCGAACUCAACUGCUUCUGAUCAACCCGCCGUUGAGAAAUACAUGCCACCAAUUCCAACGCGACAGAGUUCUUGUUGCAAGUGUGCAUGUUGGAACAACAAGAGACAAGGAAAAGAUACGUCACCAGGGGCAGGAUGAAACAAAUUCACAAUGAAGAAAAAUACAUGUUUUCACUGUGGAACACCUGGACACAUUCCCCAAAACUGUCCAAAUCGCGCAUACGUUCCUUACUAUGCACAAGGCUGGCAAAACGCGCCAAAAGGGAGAUACUUCAAAAGAAACCCCUCGAGAUCACUAUCAGACAUUGACGACUGGAAUGCCAAGAAGGCCAAGAAUCCGAAUCCCAAGGGCAAGAAGGGAAUGUCGGCCGAGAAGUCCAAUCCAAGAGAUGCUCCCGUGAAGACAAAAUCAAAGUCAUCUCAACGGCCGACAUCAAGAUCAAAAGCAAGUACUGAGCCACCCAGCAAAUCGAAAAAGAAAUGGGUUAAACCCAACUACAAAUGGGUUCCAAAGGCUCACUCUCCCAAAUCUACUAAUGACUCUAAUAUUUCUACAUCUUUUGUUUGUGAUAAACAGGACAUGUCAUGGGAGAAAGUCUCUUGCGUUGAUGACAAAGGUCGACCCAGUUUCAAAAUGGACUGGCUUCCAAAGACCAACUGGUCCCGCUUUGUGCUGGAGCAGAUAUGGAGGCAUAUCAUCAGACUUCGGUUUGUUGGUAAUGGAUGUUCUAGGCACAUGAUAGGGUACAUCUCUCAACUGUACAACAUUCAGACCUUUGUUUGAGAGUAUGUGUCCUUUUGCGGGAAAGGAAGAAAGGAAGAGAUCACUCAUGGGGUUAGUGCUUAAUGACAUGAAGAGUUUUCGGAUCUGUUCUGAGAUUAUACAUGUUGUUCUCAGACCUUCUCGAUGCAAAUUCAAUCGGUGACUUACGGUUUGAAUUUUCUUCUCUAUACUCCUGAGUUUUUCUUAAGCUGAUUUGCUUUAAAGACUAAUUUUUGUUUUAGGAUAGUUUAAAAUUUGCGCAUUUACUUUCGUUUCUCUCCUAUGUACAAAUUUAGGGGGAGAAAUAAAAACAAAACAAAAAUUAGAAAAUUUUAAAAAUCCAAAAACAUUAGAAAAUCAUAAAAUCAAAAAAAAAAUGUUGGUUAGGAAAUGUGCUUGAGGGAGAUAUUUUGGGAAGUGAUAUUAUCUAGUGAUAACAUGCAAUCUAAGUCCUCGUAACGUACCCGAAGUUGAAGGGUCUAUGCUCUGGUUUGAUGCGUCGGUAGGCACGAAAGAUUCUAAAUGGACAUGACUAGGCAGAGCUGAACUUAGGAAAUCUAUGGACUUGACAAAUCUUGACCUAGUUAGAUCCGUUUAUCCUGACAAUACGACGCUUGGAUAGGUUGAGCAGGGAGAUAUAUAUGGGAAUCUACUCGUCACAUUAAAUGAACCCGUAUCUGGAACCGUGGUUUAACUUUUCCUCGAUGUGCGGAUUCUGUCCUUAAUUCCAGUAUUGAUGGGGCAACUGGUAAAUUCCGAUAAAUUAGGUCUGUAGAAAAUCAUUUUCUUUCUUUCUUACUGUUAGUCAUAUGUUGCCUCCUCUGCGUGAUUGGAAGAGAUCCGACCUGGACUGUAACAUAUGCAACUCUAUUUCUCUGCAUAUUAUAUAUAUAUAUAUAUAUAUAUAUAUAUAUAUAUAUAUAUAUAUAUAUAUAUAUAUAUAUAAAAUUCCNNNNNNNNNNNNNNNNNNNNNNNNNNNNNNNNNNNNNNNNNNNNNNNNNNNNNNNNNNNNNNNNNNNNNNNNNNNNNNNNNNNNNNNNNNNNNNNNNNNNNNNNNNNNNNNNNNNNNNNNNNNNNNNNNNNNNNNNNNNNNNNNNNNNNNNNNNNNNNNNNNNNNNNNNNNNNNNNNNNNNUGCUCAUCCGAUGUAAGGAGUACUCUGGAAGUCCUUGAUUACUGGGGCAUAUCAGGAAGCGGGAAACAUGUUCCAGUACAAUUAAAAUUGAACACUCAAAGAUUGUCUAUAGAUCUCGCUCCUCAAUUUAGGUGGACAACAAUAUCCCUGGUCGUCGUCAGAUGAAUGGUCCCUAAGAUAUAGUAUCUAAGGAAUUAGGAUCAGAUAUAAUAUCUAGGAUCUUAGGAUCACUUUGUCUUACAAUUAUUAGUAUGUCCUAAAAUUGUCACAAUUUUUCGUGUUUAAGUGGACAACAAUACCGGCGAUCGACCAGACAAAGACGUGAAGAUAGAAGGUACCGACAAGCGGAUAAAGGUUGUCUAAAAACUUUGAUCCCAAAUCAUUCUUAAAGUUAGAUAUCAUUUUAUUUUUGUUAAAUUUGUUCAUAGUUUCUUCUAAUUUAAAUAUUAGGAGAGAAUUAAAAAUUUAAAAAACCAAACAAAAAUCAGAAAAUUAAAAAAAAAUCUAAAAAAAAAUUGUGUUAUUUAUGUUUUAUUUCUUGUUCAAGAAAAUCAAAAAUCCAAAAAUAUUUUUGUUUCUGUUUUAAUUUGUAUGCUAAGUUUUUCUUUUACUUUUGUUUUGUCUUGAAUAGUGAAUUCAGGUGAAGAUGAAGCUCAUGAAAGUUUGUGUCGAAGAUUUAUGAGCCAAGGCUUCAUUCGUGAUCAUCGAAGAAUUCUCAUUCGAAGGAGCAAGAAAUGAAGAUUAUUCUUUCGACAUUCAAUCUUUCAACCCCAGAAGCAAGGUGAAGCCGAAAUUAAAGAUUAUGUGACAGAUUGCAUUGAAGCCUCCUCAAUCAGUCUGCUGCUAUCUAUGAACCUGCUGAAGUGAUCCAGAAGAUUUAUUCUCUCUGAUGUUCUCUCUGAAGAUUCUCAAGCUGAAAGUGCUAUCUUUCAAGAAUCAGUACAUCAAGCCUCCUCACCCGACGUGCGUUCAAAGCCAAAUUCUAAAGAAAAGCCCAACCACUCAAUAUGAAGUCAUUCAUUGAAGAUUAAUGCUGAAUCCAAGUUCCUAAUAAAGAUUAUCAAGAAAGCCAACUACUGUUUAGGGGAGCUUGUUAGGUCAUUUAAGAAAAGAAAAGAAAGCUAUAAACCAAGGGGGAGAUUGUUGGGCCAAUAUUUUGGUUUAUACUUUGCUUUUCUAGGAAAUUGAUUUGUUAUGUAAUAUUGUAUAUGUGUUUAAGGUCAGGAAGUGAGUUUACGACUGUAAACAGAGUUUACGGCCGUAAACACGUUUACGGUCGUAAACUCAGUUUGCGGCCCAGUCUAGUAUAUAUAGNUGAGGAAUAGUGAUGAACACUAGAGGAGCUUAAGUGUGUGCAUUUGAAGGUGUUCUAGAGAGAGAAAAGAGAGUGUGUGUUAGUGUGUGUGAAUCUUGUAUCCAGAUCUUCAUUCAUAUCAAUACAUACAAGAUUCAUCAUCAUCUUCUUCUCCUUCUCUUCUAUUUGAUCUGACAUCAUCCGUUUGAUUGGGAUUCCGCACCAUCAAACGGAUCUGAUUGAUACACAAGCAGAUUAGGGACUUACACGAACCUCACAUGCUAGCCGUGAAAAACAUCUUUCGCUAUCUGAAGCGAACUUCCUCUCUCGGUCUAUGGUAUCCAGCCAACUCAGGUUUCUUUGUCCAAGAAUUUUCAGAUGCUGACUUAGGUGGUUGUGGAUUGGAUCGUAAAAGCACUACUGGAGGAUGCCAAUUUCUUGAUGGUAAAUUGGUUAGAUGGCAAUCAAAGAAACAAAAAUGUGUUUCUCUAUCAACGACAGAAGCUGAAUACAUAGUCGCUGCUUCAUGUACAUCUCAGGUUGUUUGGAUACAUAGUCAACUUAGAGACUAUGGGCUUAACGUGAAGAAAAUACCGCUAUAUUACGACUCUGAAAGUGCAAUUAGGAUUUAUCAUAACCUGGUGCAACACUCGAAGACAAAGCACAUAGCACUGCGGUAUCACUUCAUCAAAGAUCAUGUGGAAGAUGGUAACGUGGAUAUUCAUUUUGUAAGGACCACUGAUCAACUAGCAGAUAUAUUCACUAAGGCUUUACCUGAAGCAAGCUUCAACAAGAUCUUACUAGGCCUAGGAAUGAUGGAAGCAGAAUCAAUACCAAAAUCAUCUUCGCUUCAUUAAAGGUAAGAAGCGAAAUAGAGCGAACGCACGGUCUAUUUAGGGUUCGGUUUAUCCGGUAACCGAAAUGAACCGAACGCUCGGUCCAUUUCGGGUUUGGUCCUUCUGAACUCGUUCGCUUCUUUUUCAUUAAAAGGGAUUUUGGUUGUAUUCUUUUGUAUACUCUUUUCCGUAUUCAUUUUUAUGUUUUUCUUUUCAUUUUAUUUUAUUCUAUUUUAUUUUAAUAAAAUCCAAAAACAUUUUUUUUCUUAUGUUUCAUUAAUUUCUUUAUUUCCUUUUUUUUUCCAAACUAGGCUGUUAUAUUCACUCUAAUCAUGAGCUACCUUACUCUUCUCAUUUUGAGUUUAGAGUUUUCUGCUUGGUCCUUCUUUUAUAGCAAAGGUACAUUCGCUUCUUAUACCCCCUAUAUUAUUCUUCUUCAUUACACUACAUCUCACUAAAGUAACCCUUGAGACUCUCAGCUCUUACCACUGAGGUUUAUGGUUAUACAAAAAUCUGUGUUAAUGAUCUUACUCUUGUGUCACUACGUACUAAGUGAAACCCACAAUUCAAAACCCUUAAUGCAUUGACGGUGAAUCAUUAAUAUGAUAUAGUUCUUGAAUGAAAUCUCUUUUAUUUUAAGUGAUCCUUCUAAAUAAGUCUAUCACCAAGACUUUUCUUCCCCAAGGAUCCAGUUAUAAUUUUUUUUUUUGAUAUUUCUCAAUAAAUCAACAAGUCACUCAAUAUGUUUCUAACCUACUUGUUUAACAGGCCACAUUGGUCUCACAAGUACUUCGUUCAGUUUUGGUCUUAUAUCAAGUACCGAAAUCAUGAAUUGAAGCGAAAGCCACCCUUUAUAGCUUUAAUUAAAAAGAUGCCUUUCAAUACUUCUUCACAAGUAUUUGAUCGUUAUUUAACGGGAAACCACACAAGCACUUUGAAGUCUCUCUUGACUUUGAAGGAAGAGAUUCGUGCCCAGAAUCAGUCACUUUAUGUCUAACAAGACAUCACCAAUACCCAUAAAAAGUUUGCUUUAUUUCUUUAUCAUUCACACUCUAUGCACGGAAAUCUUUGAUUUUCCUAACAUCUGGUUCUAUUAAAGUUAAUUUUCACAGCUUGGUUUCUGAAAGAUAUUAUGGUGAUCGAUGCAAAUAAAGGUGAUGACGGUUCAUGUAAAUUAUAUGGUUGACGUUUCGGAUAACAUUCAUGGAUUAGUCAACAAUUAUCCAAUCGAUUUGACGAUUUGAAAAAAAGGUACUUUCUAUGGAAAGGCAUGUAAAAGUGAAAUGUCGUUUCUCUCUCCUGCGUUAUAAUAGGGGCUGCCAACUGUUCAUCCCAUCACAUCCGACACGGUUUCAAAUAAAGCAAAGAUUUCAGUCGGAUAUUUCUCUCUCCUACUCUUACGUAUAAAAGGAUUUGUCCUGCUCCACUUCACUCUUUUAUCACUUACAAAUCCUCACAAAGAAAAGGGUGAUCUCUCUCAAUUGUUCAUCAUCUUCUUCACAAGUUUCAUCAAUAACGGAUUCCUCUUCUGUUCAAGAUACUUAUGUUGUCUCCAACAUCCUUACCAUCUAGCCCCAACAAAACCUCAUCAUUGACCUUACACCCUUCGUCUAUGAAUACUUCAUGUUGCACGUCGUCGAAUGCCUCAAGUACUCUCCUCUUGUUGUUGCUCUUACCAAGGUGGAAGUGGUUCCUAUGUCUUGCCUCUCACACAUCUAUUCGACUGCUUAUUAUGACAAGAUUGCUGAGCGGAUUCACUUUGAAAUUCACAAUGAGAAAACCUCAAUCUCCAAGAAUCGCUUAUGUGCCCUAACUGGUCUUCCUCAAGAACCCUCUUUGGUAAACCCUGACUCCAUUACUACUGGUCAGCUUUUCUCCAUGUUUUACCAGAUGGGAUACACUGAAACCCUAACAACCGUUACGAAGUUCAAGAAGUCAUGCCUUCCCCCACAAUGGAAUGGCCUCUUUACUCUUUUGUUCAAAGGACUUUUGGAGCAAAGUGUUGUAUCUGACGGUGCAAGCAAGUCUUUUAUGACGAUGCUUUAUGGCUUGUACCAUGGUUUAAAUCUGGACUUUGGAUCGGUUAUAUGGCAACAACUUAUUCAGAGUUUGUCUUCUUCAUCUCACCAUUCUAAGAUUUCGUGUGGCAGGUACUGGUCCAUUAUCACAAAGUGUGCGAUGGAUCGUCUUCAUGUUCCCAUCAUGGCAGACUCCCUUCUUUCCUCAAUCGCAACCUUUCACACAACGAAGAUCAUCAUUACUGAUUCUUCCAAGUAUUCCUUCAUUGGAUCGAUUCUAGCAACUAUGUAUGCCUGCGUGUCUAAGGCAAGCAACCUUAUUCAAAAAUACAAAAAGCUUCCUUCUUCGGACCCAAGGGAGCUUACCCCUACCAUGAUUCUCUCUAUCGAGGAGGCUGAAAAACCUGCUAGGAGGGGAAAGAAAACAAAAACACAAAAGGAGGUGAGAGUCACCAAACCUACUAAGGGUCAAACACAGAAGCGAACACCCGAGAAAGCUGCUCCUUCACAGCCUAAGCAGAAGAAGGUGAAAAAGCCAGCCAGGAGACUAAUUCUUCAAUCCUCUAGUGAAUCAGAUUAUGAGUAUGUUUCUCCUGCUAACAAACCUACUACUUCAACAAAAUUAGAGAGCGAAAGUUCUGAUGAGGAGGCUUCGGCUCGUGGUGAUACUCCUCCUCGAUCACCAACACCUGAGGUAUCUGUUCAACCCCCAGUUCAUUCUUCUCCACCUGCCUCGAUUCCCAUUUCAAUACCAACAACCUUUCCAAUUAUUUCAUCCCAACCUACAUCUACUAUUCCUAUUCCCACUCCUCUUUUCACAGAAGAAACUACAACAACCACCACUGGAGCUCCAACCAACGUAUCUGAUACGGGGGUUCGGUCUUCAGUUCCAAAAACAACCAAACCUUUAUCUCCCACACCAUUAACCGAAACUAACACUGUUUUUUGGGGGUGAGGACAUGGAGUUUGAUUCCACUUACUUCAGCCCUUACCGGGUUCAAAGUGAUGAUGAUGAAGAUGCUCCAGUUACCAAGCGCCAUCUCAAAGUUGUUACUGAUAAGCUUGAUCAGUUACUUUUUUCCUCCUCAAUCGGUGCUUACUCCGAAGUUGAUCUUAAAGCUCUGUUCUCUUCGGUUGUCAAAGAACAUGAAGCCUCUCUCUCUGCUGCAACAAAGGCUAUUGAUGCCUCUACUUCUCAAUGUGAAAAAGCUUCGCUUGUUGUUAAGUCAUCAACAAAAGAAUGUGCAGAAGCGACCGCAAAAGUCGAAAAACUAAUUUCUGAGGCUAAGCAAUUCCUUGAUACUUUGCAAGCUACUACUCCAAAGAACUCAGAGACCGUGAAUGCUUCGGUUGAUAAUCUACAGCGUUCACUUGAAAGUGAAAGGACUAAUCUUGAAGCUGCUCGAAAAGCCAUUGAAGCUGCCAAUGCGAAACUUCACGAUAAUGUCAAUGAUCGUUUGAUUCAGCUGGAAGCUGAACUAGCUGUUGAAAAUCGCAUUAUGGAUGAGCUUGACAAACGUACUUCUCAGCUCAAAAUUCAAAAUCUUAAGCUUCGUUCUACCACAACUGAGCUUCAUGAUUACAAGUCUGAAAGAGAAGUAAUCCGAAGCUCCGUGGGUGAUGUUCAUUCACUUUUGUUACAUCUUCUUGAUGCCUAUGACUCCAUUCUGACUAUUACCAUCAGACGCCAUUUGGCUGAAAAACUCAGACCUGCAUUGGAAAUCCUGAGUCGGAUUGAGGGUGUUUCGGUGCCUCCUGGCCAGCCGAAACAAGGGGGAGAAAGAGAAAAGGAAAAGGUGGAAAAGGUUACAACUCAACCUCCUCCCGAACCCAAAUCAAUAGUUGCACCGAAGGAUAAUGUAGCUUCGGGCAGCAAAAGGGAUAAAAAGAAAAGGAAGAUUGGUGAAGAUGAUGAUGUUGAUGAUGAGGCAUUUGAAGAUAUCGUGGGUUAAAAUCCCUCUAACCCUUUUCAGAAAACAAAACUUUCUGACAAGGAGAUUGAAGAAAAGACCAACAAGGAUAUAGUUGAGCUUGAGAAAAAGCUUAAGGAAAAAGAGCUCCUGGAGAAGAAGAAGUCCAUUUUUCCAGUGUGGACUAUUGAUUCGCUCCAAAGGGAAGCCAUAGAUGAACCAAGUUCUCUUUGGCUCGAGCCGGUUAUGUCAUUCGGUCUCGAAAACUUGAAGGAUGCGUAAUUUGAUAUGCCAAUCACUCACAAGGCAAUUAUCUUUCAUUGCUUCAACUCAACGGCUGUCAUUCCUUCUCCGGACCCGAAGGUGGAUCGGGAUCUGUUGGAGUUCUAUCUGGAAUUUGCUCAGCCACAGUACUUGACCUAGAGCUCACAGAAGAUUACUACUGUCAAGGUACUGAAGCCUUAUUCAGCCGGGAAAUUCGUUAAUUUUAAAUUUAAAGUGACCCAAGUCUCUGAAGGCUCGGUUCAUAAUUUUUCCCUGGUUGAUCUACCGAACCUCAACCCUCACGACUGGAUACUCCUCAACAACAUUUUGCUGUCCAAUCCUCAGGAGUAUCAGCCGAUUAUUGAUCAUGUCAAGCGAAUGCUUGUUUUCUACAUUCAUGAAGUAGCAAAGAUGGAUCAGGAAAUCGCUUCAGCGAUUCACAAGCGUACCACGAUCAAACCAAUGGGAAGGGUUGGCGACAUAAACUCAAUGACCAUGGGCAGAAUUGACACAAAUAUCACUCUAUGAUGUUUCUUAGGGGCGAAGGUCAAAAAUGUCUAUUCGCUCUUAUUGACAAACACCUAUUCUUAAUUGCUUGCUUGGAGCAUAUUUUGGAGAUCAUUCACAGGUGCAAUCAGAAUUUUGCAGUUGAUAAGAAGAUGUUUGCUGACAUGCUAUGUUGGUAUAUUCAGUUUCGGCAAACUGUUCUUGCUAUAAUUCCUCGACUGUUCAAGGUUGUAAAGACUGUGAAGCCUACUCAAAAGAAAUAAUCUCUCGCCUCAUUUGACGCAAAAGGGGGAGAUUGUUGGGGUUAUAUUGUUGCGUCAUGGGCUCGGUCCUUAGCCCAGUUUUGUAGCCGGUGUGCGUGUAACGACUGAAAAAUUCCAACAAGUUUAAACUUUUCAAAAACAACCCGAUUUCAUUAAUUUAUUACAAAAAGGUUUUCAAUACAAUUUAUUUAGAGUAUUCCCAGAAUCACGUCACAACAUAAACAUGAGGAGCGGUACGAUCACGCCUUCGCCUUGCCACGGUCACCUGAAGAACUUGAAAAACAUAAAACCACAACUGUAAGUCCGAAAGCUUAGUGAGAUAUCCCCAAAAUACCAACCACAUAUACCAUACACGCAUAACAUGCCAUAUCAUAUCCGUUCACAGAACAACCAUGCACUUCGGGUCUACUGUGUGACUGGUCCGCCGCACCGGCCAACAGUCCACCUGGUCCACCCUUCGAGUCUAGCCAUAUACCUCGAGUCUGCAGUGUGAUUGGUCCGCCCGCACCGGGCCUUCAAUCCACCUGGUCCACUCUCCGAAUCUAGCCACAUACAUCGAGUCUGCAGUGUGAUUGGUCCGCCCGCACCGGGCCUUCAAUCCACCUGGUCCACUCUCUGAGUCUACAGUAUGACUGGUCCGCCCGCACCGGGCCUUCAGUCGGCCUGGUCCACUCUCCGAGCCUCGGCACGUCUGGUCCGCCCUCUUGGGGCCUACAGCCUAUCCGGACCGCUCGCUGGGCCUUCGGGACAACCGGUCCGCCCUGGGUAUCUUGGCCUACAGCACAAAGCAGGACCCGCCUCAACCCAACUCCAGUCCAAACAACCAUGUGCACAUAAACAUACAAUCAUAUAACAAUUCACAGUCAACAAACCGAUCAAACAGAUCACAUAACAUAUCAUCAUCCUAACCAGGAUACCGACCUAACCGGUCACUAGCAUAGCAUCACCCUACAUCUCAGGAUACCGAUCUCAACCAGGUCUCUAACAUAUACCAUCCUAGCUACCAGGAUGCAAACAUAUCAAAGCAAUAACAUAACAACAACUACCCGGAUCUCAAUCCGAUAAGGGCCGGCCUUGGUGCCUUAGACCCUGUUGAUAUAGUGAGGAUAACUCACCUCGAAACUGCCGACUGAACAGAUAACCCAAGCUGCUCCGAUCACUGAUACGAUCUCCACCACUGGCCAACCACCAAAACACUGAACUCAAAACAAUAUCCAACAAUUACCAAAAUGCCCCUGGAAAUCAACUGGUCAACCCUUGGUCAAAGUCAAAGUCAAAGUCAACCCCUGACUGACUCUACUCGCCGAGUCAACCCGAUGACUCGCCGAGUCCCCAUGCUCAGAAUUUUCCCCAAUCCGCGACUCAACUCGCCGAGUCACCCCGAGACUCGCCGAGUCCAACAACUCUGAGUCCUUUCACACUUGACUCACCGAGUCAUCCCUUGACUCACUGAUUCACAGCUCAACCAGAAGAAAGGAUAGGACCUCACGACCAGACUCGCCGAGUCCAAGAACAGACUCGCCGAGUCCAAGGCUAUCUUCAACCUACUCGCCGAGUUGUUCUUCCAACUCGCCGAGUUCUAGACCAUCUUCAAGCAACUCGCCGAGUACACCCUUGUGACUCGCCGAGUGCCUCUAGAUCUCAUUCCAAACAGAACCUUCCAGGCCAUGCAAUUGAUCCAAAACGUAGAUCUAGCCUCCUACAACCCAUCCAUCAUGUAAAGUGGCGAACUUUACGUGAAUCCAAAGAGAUCUAGGCAUUUUACACUUUAGGGUUUGGGUUUGGGACAAGAUAGAUUCACCAAUCACUUAUCAAAAGGGACUUUAUGCAUUUUUGGAUCAUCACUACUCCAGAUCUGAGGUAGCAUCCUCAGAUCCGUCUUCCAAUCCCGAAAUAACUCAUGAAAUACUCCAAAAACCCCAAAACAACCACCAUGGAUGACAAUAAGGGAAAAAGGGCUCAAGACAGAGGAUUCUUACCCCAAAGAUGAGCCUAAAUUGAUGUAGACUUCAGAUCCACAAGCCCUCUUGGUGCUAUCCUCGAAUUCCUCCAACUUCUCUUCACAAAUUCCUUCUUCCAAGCUUCAAUCCUCUCAAUAAUGGAGUUUCUCACGAUUAGGGUUUCCUCUGGAACACUCAGGGGAAAUAGAGGCUGAAAAGAAGGCAUAUCAUUCUUUAAAUAGGGUGCAAACCCCAAAGAUUAGGGUUUUCUUCACCCAGCACCAACUCGCCGAGUCCAACCGCCGACUCGCCGAGUUGGCCACUUAACACGCGACCAAAAUCGCGACUCUACUCGCCGAGUCCACCCAUGGACUCGCCGAGUUGCCCUUAUACAUUUUCACUUUGAACCCUGAACUUGCACUCCUGAACUCGGGAUGUUACAGUGGGCCUGUCCAACCGUGCAUUAUUUUAAUCAAGGGUUUUAGUAUUUAAGGUGCAUGCAUGCAUCCUUGGUAGGUUAACACUUCUGAGAAUUUCCUUUUGAUAAGUAUUGUAAACCCUAGCUCGCCUCUACAACGGAAGUUCUUCAUCGACCUUUGUUGAGGUGUGACUAUAUUUGAAUCAUAAGCUUCAUAUUGAUUUUGUUUUGUGUUCUUAAUUGCUGUAUGAUUGAUUUGUUUGUUCUUUAUCAACAUACAUGUGAAAGAUCUAAACGAUCUAGAGAUUUAUUCUCAUCAGUAAAGUCAAUUCGUAUGACUCUACUUUAGGUACAUCCACGGUCUAAUUCCAUUAGUUCCUAUUCUUAGACUCUUAAUACAUGAUGCCAUGAUCACAUUUUGAUGGUAUUGCAGGAUCUAAAAGAAAAAAAGGAAGCUUAAGCAAAGUGAGCUAAAUUUGAUCAUGAAAGAUGGACUUUGGUCAUGUGGUUUGGUGGUCAGAAUUUGAAGCUGCUUCAAGGGAGUUAGGAUAACUUAAUAGAUUUCUUUUACUCUUCAGAGAUGUUUAGAAAUACAGUUUUUCAUUUUUUUAUUGUAAGGACAAGUUCCAAUUUUUCAUUUAUCUUAGUAAAACUGAUUUUUUGGUUUACUUAGUUGUUUUAUCUUAUUUCCUUGCAAUGAAAUUAAUGAAAAUGUUAGUUAUGUUUCAAAUAAUAGCAAUAUUAAUUAUGGAUUUUAUUCUUAUGAUAUUGCUUGUGGCACUGUCAUAAUUGACCAAGUGAAAAAAAGUAAUCUUAUAGCCAACUUGAUAGAUACUUGGAGUCGUACAAUUCAAAUUGUAUAAUAUAUGACAAUCUUAUUCAUUGGAAAAUUAUGAUUAAUUCAUUGAUCACAUGUUUAUGUGAAGGCAAAUGAAGGACUAAUGGAUCUAGUACAUGUUGAUAUGAACUCUGCAAAUCCACCACAAAGGAUGAUAACUCUAUUCGUCAUGAUUUACCGAUGCUUCAAUAAAUAUGAUUUUGUUUAUAAGAUUAAACACAAUUUUAAUACUUUUGAAAAGUUCAUGAGUAGCAAAAAAAUGGAAAAAUCCAUUAAGAAGAAAGAUAAAAGAUUCUCCAGUCUGUAAAGAAAAGGAGAGUGCUUUAUUAUCAUGUUUUAUGAUCAUCUGAGUAAUUGUGGAACUGUAUUACAAUUGACUCCUCCAAGAACAUCUUAAUGCAAUUGUAUGACUAAGAAAAGGAAUUAAACAUUGUUGGAAAUGGUUCGAUCAUAGAUAAGUCAUAAUUUGCUCCAAUUAAGUUUUAGAGUCAUGCUCUAGUAACUAUAAAUCAUAUCAUUAAACUCAUUUCAAACAAAGAAGGAUGAUAACACCUCGUAAUAUGUGGAGUAAUAAUGUUUUCUUACUCUAGCACAUUUAGAAUUGUAGUUGUGAUGUUUUCGUUGAUCGAGAAACAAAAGAUGAACUGAGUCAUAUUCUAUGAAGUGUUUUCUUGUCAGAAAUCCGCAAGAGCUCUUGAAUAUUUGUUUUGGAUCAUCAAUGAAUGUUCCUUGAGAGAAAAAUCACAUGUCAAGAAGUCAAUGGGAGUCACGUUGAUAUUGAUCUUGUAAGAGUCGACCGAUAGUGAUCCUUUUAAUUAUCACUAGCACACGAACUGAGGUUUAUUGUGUUUACUAACAUAUUCUUAUUUAUGUGCACUUCUAGUUGAGUUAACAAUGAUUAUGAGUUCUAUGCUCUUCGUUUAAGUGUGAAAGCAAAGCACGUUGGUUAGUUAUAGUAUGCUGAUCAAUAUCGAUGAGCUGCUAAUAACAUGGAAGCACUAGUGGGCCAUUUGAGCUGCCAGAAGACAAGAAAUUAAAAUAAUAGCAAAGUUCGUUUCAUGAAGGAAAAUUGAAUUUGGUUUGUCCUAAUCCUUGCCUUAUGACUAUAGCAUGAAAAUGAAAGUUCUACGUAGAUGGGAACAUAUGCACCUUCGAAUCUAGGUGAUUAAAAGGUUUCACUCCAAUUCAUGAAAUGGUUAGGAGUAAACACUUUCACUAGUAGAUUUGAAGGAUCUGAUAAAGAUCGUAUGGAUAUUGGUUGCAUCAAUUGCAUUCUCAAAUUCACAAUAUGAUUACGACAUCACUCUUCAUAUUUCAAAUUGUAAGGUAUAGCAAGGAAUUGUUUAACCUUUCAGGAGAUAUGUUUAUCACAUCUUGAAAGGGUUUAAACAUAUACAUUAUCCGGAUAAAGGGCAUAAGAUUAAGAAUCCUAGUUAGAGGCUUGACGAAGCAUCACGAAAUAGGAAUCUACACUUCCAUUAGAAAUUCAAAAGGUAUUGAAUUCUAGAAGUCUAUUUGAUUUCCGAGUACAUGUCAAAGCGAGUGGGAGCAUAUUUGUUAUGUUGGUAUUGCAUGUUGACAAUACUAUUCAUAUUGAACAAUGUCACUAGUUUGCAAAUUGCAAAAGCUGGAAACUAUUUCACUAUAAUAGACAUAAGGGAGAGGGCGCUCAUACUUUGUUACAAAUCUAAAUGUUUAGAAUGUAUAGUUUAAUAGAACUUAGUCGAAGGCAUAUAUGAAUAGCAUGUUGAAAUGUUUCAACAUUUAGGAUUCUAUAUAUGGAAAUAUUAUCGCAAGGAAUUGAACAGAUAUUGGACCGUUGUAAUAAUGAGUCGAGUCCUAUAUCUUUCGGAUAUAGGAUCGAUUACAUAAGCUAUAAUAUUUGCUUAUUCUAAUGCUCUGAGCAUUGUGAGAAAAAGGACUAGAAUUUUAAGUGACUAAAGCUCUUAAACAAUUGUCAAGAACAUUUUGAGGUUUACUAAAGACUGAUUGCUUGUGGGCAGUUGGAAGUAUGACAUGAUUUAAGAAGGACCAUAGUCACAAAUUUUAGAUUGAGAUGAUUCUUGGUCAGAAUUGAUGGUCAUAUGGAAAUAUAGGAAUGUUUCCAUAAUGGGAUAUGCUUAUAGAAUCUACAUGUAAGUUAGAAACUUUAAUGCAAGAGAAGUGUUCAAGGAAUGUACCCUAAAUAUGAGACUUCAUAACCAUGGAAUUGUUUCAAGUAACAAGUUCUAGUGGAACAUUCUAUAAUAUAUAAGGCUUAGUCUUUGUGACUUUAGAACCUCUACAUCAUAGAAAGACAAUGCAGGUUAAGAUGAAAUUCCACUACAUCUUAAUUAAGGACAAUAAUUUGGAAUUGUGAAAUAAGCAUCAUUGGAGUAAUGUCCAAUCAAUAUAUUCACAAAGGAAAGACCAUCAAGAGUCAUGGUAUGCAUGUUCGCAACAUGGCAUGACUGAUGUUAUUUAACUCAAGUGGUUGGUUGAUUACUCGAAACAUCACACAAUGAAUAAAUUGUAAUUUUUAUGGUGAUUAAAUAAUAGGAAUUUAUUUCUGAUCAAUGGGUAUGAUGCCGUAGUUAAUUAAUUUAUUAUUGUGUUUAACUUUGCAUGUUUUACUUUCCUAAGUGAUUUAAAUAUUAUUCAAAGCUUCACAGUCAUUCAUACUUUUAGAAGUAAGUAGAGAACUAAGACUGUCAUGAAUUGAUUUAUAGAUUGUCCAUAGGGAUUGGACAUUACAUGAGAUUGUUAAAAUAUUAAUGAGUACUUGGAAAUAAGGAUUUUAAGUAUCUAAUAAACCCACUCUAAGUGAUUACUUCAUGGAUUUAAAUCACAAGUGAUUCUAAGACGAUAAUAUAUUCUAUUAUUAAAGUAGAGAUAUAUAGUUCAUAGUUUAUUGAUCAGUUGUGUAUUGGUUUGGUCAAACACAUCUCGUAAUUGGAUGUUAUAAAGGGUUAUCCCAUGUGUGAUUCAACAUGUAAAUUUUAUGACUAUAUAGUCAAAGUAAUUCGUUCCUUUUUCCUUAAUAGAAAAAGCGGUAUCUGUGGGCCCCUUGGUGAUUUGAAUUGACUUAUGAAAAACCAGGCGCAUGGUCCAGACUAAAUGGGUGCGUUCGAUUUUGUAGUCUAAAUUGAUCACAAUUUGGGAAAUCGGGAAACAAAUAAAUGAACAUGAGGUUGAACAUUUAAUCCAUGACUCAGUUCAUACGAUAUCUUAUAGAACAAACGAAUAGUUUAUCAUUUAUCUUAAGGGCAACAUUUGAUUUGAAUAAGAGUUCGACAGUGUCUUGGGAAAGCACUCUUUGCAGUUUAGUUCAAGGUAUAUACUUUCAAUUGUAAUUAGAAGCAAAGUCCCUUUUGAGUUUCCCUCAUAACUAGAACUUGAUUAGAAUGAUAUUUAUAGAGAGAGGAUGAUUUAUUAGAUUAUCAUAUGAUUAAUAAACUAAUUGGAAAUUAUGAGGAAAUUAUUUGUUAAUGUAUUAUAUGAUUAAUAUAUUCAAUGGAAACAAAUAGUUGAUUUGUUAAUUUAUUUUGUGAUUAAUAAAUUAAUAUGAGAUCGGUUGUUAAAGUAAUGGAUUUUUUAAUUUAUAUGAGUAAUAAGUUAAUAAGAAAUCAGUUAUAGCUUAUUAAUUAUUAAUCAUAAUUAAUCUGGAAUUACUUUGGGAUUAACUGUAAUUAAUUAAAGGUGCAAGGGGUGAAUUGUAAUUAUUCAAUAGUUGAACAAAAUAGGCAAUUCUAGAACCAUCCUAGGCGGAUGGUUUUGGGAGCCCUUCUAGGGUUUCCAAAAGUCACAUGGAUGUUAAUAAGGAAAUGAUUUGAAUUGGAAUUAAAUCCAUUAUUUACUUCUUCAAAUCUUUCUUUGCUCCUAAGUUACAUAAAUUAUAAAUAGGGCCCCUUGGACACUCAAAUUCGUGACUACUCUUUUUUAUAAGCGUAUGAACUAAAAUUUACACUCUCCUCCUUUCUCCUCAAGUAUCUUCUAGUUCUAGGGUUUGGGUGUGAGCCAUUAGAGGCAUCAUCCUUUUGGUGCUAGCUUUCCAAGCUUUUCAAAGAAAGGAUUGAAGUGAUUUGUUUGAUACAACAAAUCCAAGUUACGUAAACCCUUAACCUAAUUUCUUAUUUUCGAAAUAGCUAGGGGUUUACUAGAUUUUGUUAUUCAAAGUAUGUUGCCUUCAAAGUGAAAAACAUAAAUCCUUUUAGGUUGCAUGUGUCCUUCUUAUUUAUUAAGUUUUUUAUGCAUUGUGCAUAUUGUUGUAACCUAAUAAACCCAUCAGAUCAUGCAUGGUGGAUAGACUCGGGGUUGACGAGUCAUGUGUGUAAAGAUCUCUCUUGGUUCAAGGAUUAUGAAGUAAUUAAUGAUGGGUGUUGUACAUGGGAGACCAUAAUAAAGCACCUGUUAUGGGUCGUGGUUGUGUUUCUUUAUGUUUUAGUUCUGGAAAAAGUGUUAUUCUUAACAAUAUUAUUUGUGUUCCUACAAUUAGAAAGAACUUGGUUUCUGGUGGUGUAAUUAAUAGAUAUGGAUAUAAACAAGUCUAUGAAUCUGAUAAGUAUGUAUUAUCUAAGUGUGGUACAUUUAUUGGAUUUGGAUAUUAAUGUUUUAUUUAAAAUGCCUUUCAAUGUGUGAACAAAGUUACAAUAGUGUCUUAAUUAUUAAAAAUGAAAUUUUGUUCUUGAAAUUUUAGGAUGUUACACUAGGGCCUCACCCUGGGGUGUCUCUCAACCCAAUCAUACAGUAGUGGGCCCCGCCCUGGGUUCUAUUUUAACCCGAACAUACGACAGUGGGCCCCACCCUAGGGUGUAUUUCAACCCAGCAUACAAUUACACAUAUACCACAUAACGACUAUCAUUCUAAGUAAUACAGUAAAGGGCCGAUAUUGGUGCCUUCGACCCAUGGAUGCAGUGAGAAGACUUACCUCCAAAGAAGAUAACCGUGCUACACACUCGAGCUGUUGCUAAUACGGUCCCUCACACUAAAGAUAUCCCAAAGAAAAUAACCCUAAUUAAUAAUCCGACUUUUAUUCCAUAAUAGAUGGUGCAAACAAUCCCAUAUCCUAAAUAGGGGCAAAAAGGUCAUUUUUCCUUCCCAUUCGACCCAAAUUCUGGAAAGCCUAACACGAAUGAUUCAAUGCCCAAAAGGAUGGCCCAUGUGUUGGAACUGGCCGUACGCCCCGCCUACCAACUUGUACACCCCGUGUACACAAUGUAUGCGAACGGAAUCGGGGUCAAGGUGCAGUAUGCACAGCAUACUUGGUUUUACCUCCACCGUACACACCCUAAUGCCAAAACUCCCAUUAAGGUCUCAAUGCUUUAAGACCUUACAUACAAACUUCAGAUUUGAGCUUAUUAAGACCUAUAAGGCCAUAAAGUUGCAAACUUUAUGCCUUUGCAUGGCUACAAGGACCCCAACACUAAGAACCUAACUUGCUCCAUCCUUUUCUACACCAUAACUCUUGCAUGGGAACAAAUCAAGAUCCAAGCUUUCAUUUUUUAUGACUUAAAAUACCCUAAAAUGUCUAAAAGAACAACUUAAAGGCUUCGGAGUACCUCAUAUUCACAAAGAUCUAGGUUUUGGGACAAAAGAAAAGAAGUUCUAAGCUUAAUCAAGAUCUAGAAAAACAUGAGCCAAGUUUGGAGAUUUAUACCUCAAAAUGGUGCACACUGAAGAUAGAAUGUUGUAUCCAAAUUCUUGAGAGAAAAGCCACUUCUUUGAUGAUCUUCCUUCACAAUCAAGAAAUCCCACAAUUCACUUAAAAGCUCAAAAUGCUCAAAAUAGAUUAGGGUUUGCAAGGAGGGUCGAUCUUGGGAUGGAGGCUGAUAAGUGGAAAGGUUUUGGGGCUAUAAUGGUGCUUAUAUAGUACACAACCCCUAAAUAUUAGGGUUUGCUCUAAAUUGCAUACGCACUGCGUACCAGCGUACGCUCAACGAGCGUAUGCUCAAUGUACAUGCACAGGGCCAGGUACACCCAACGUACCAAGGUGUACGCCCAACAUACCCAUGUUGCACCUAAUAUUACAAAAAUGCCAUAAAGAGCCACUUUGGACAAUACUCAUUUACUAAGGGGAUAAUGGGUAAAUACCUGGAGAACAAGAUGUUCACACAAGUUUUGUGCAUCCAAGAAAAAGGAAGAGGAAUCAAAGGCUUUCUAGGUAUAAUUUCUCCUCCUCUAACUCUAUAUUUUGAAUUCAAGGUUUGGGUAGAACCUCAAUAUCAAUUUUGGCCUCAAUAGAUGAUUAGGGUUUGGUUUUCUAACAUCACUGACUGGUUUCCAUGGUUCUAAUCUUCAUCCAAUCAUCACAUUGAUGGAUUUGAUGAUUUGGUUAAAAAGCUCCAUGAACGCUAGAAAACCUAAAUUGAGGAUAUUGAAAUUGAUCAUGAAAUGAGAUUGUAUUUUAUAACCUAGAUGAUAUUUGAUAGCAACAAAUCCAAUUAGAAUGCUCAAAGUCAUCCAUGACGGUAGAAUCAUGUAUAUGCUACAAUUGGAAUGGAAUUGAGUGAAAUGUGAUGAAAAAUAUGGAAUAUUUCGUGUGUAAGCAUUUAAUGAGUAAAUGAUACUCAUAAACAUGAUUUGAUACUAAAAUAUGAUUUGGAUGUAAGAACAUGAAGACUUGAAUGAUUCCAAGUUGAAUUUUUGGAAUAUUUGGCCGUAAGGGUAUUUUGAGAAAUAUAUGGAUUACUACAUAAAGAUUGACUUCUAAGAAGUGAAUAAUAUUCAUGAACAUGAAUUAACACUCUAUAUAUGUUAUUGGAACAUUAACAUUAAGGAAUACCAGUGAAGUUCUAGCUCUAGUGAUUGUUUUGGCCCAAGGGUACUUUGGGAACAUGGAAUGGAAUUGAGGAUUCUAUAGUUACAUUAGCUACUUACAAUGAGAUUGAUUGUGGUUUUAUGUACUUAGCAACACUCAUUUGAGUAUUCAAUAAGUUGGGAACAAGCUUUGUGAAUUUGGAAUGCUCAAGUGAAAAAUAGAAAGGAUAACUCUUCUUGUGGAAUUUUAGAAUUCAUAUGAUCUUAAAGGGGUUUCUAUGAGAACUUAAGGAGUUAAGAAGAGUGUUUUGGGAUGAUAAAACACUUCCUAACCAUGUGUGAGAACCCAUAUACUUAGUACAAAGUGAAUUGGAAAGGGCAUUCAAGAACUAUGCAAAGUACAUAACAUUAAUGAGAAAAAGUACACAAUUCGGAGCAUAGUAGGGUUCACCGUAGGGUUACCGUAAAACAUCCCACCAUUGUGGUAAACAAUAAUGUCACUAUGGUGAACAUUGUCCCAAAAAUUCUUGUUUUUCACUUUUAUGUUCCGAAACAUUCCCGAAAGCUUUUAAAUGUAUACCUUUAUCAUAUUAAAGCUUUGGAAAUGUUGAGAACCCUUAUAAGGGUAUUUUGGACAUUUUAAUGACUUAUGUCCAUGUUAUAUAUAGGUGGUAUUAGAGAGUGUUGCUUUAAGGAAAUAAGCUAGAAAAGGACUUGCCAACCUGCAGUAUGGUUGAGGUGAGUAUAUGUUGGCAUUUUCCCACUCUGGGGUACAUGGAAAAAUGAUUUUUAUGAUAAUGAAAUACCAAUGCAUUGAUCUAUGAAAUGUUUUGAAAUGAAAGUAUUAAAUGAAUUUCAAAAGAAUGUUUUGAAAGAAUUCCUUAAAGGCAAGAACAUUUUUGAAAGUAAUGAAUGUUUUGAAAGAACAAAUGUUUUGAUAAUGUGUUUGGAACUGUUUUGAAAUAUACGUUCUUUACUUUUGAAAAAGUACUUUGAUAUUAAUGCAUGGAAUCUGUAAAACAUGGAAGGAAAACAUGAUGAUGUAUGGAAUAUGUAAAGCAUGGAAAGUAAUGAUAAGAAAUGGAAAGUUAUGACAAGAAUUGGAAAGUAAUGUCAAGAAUAUACUGCUCGAGCCAUGAUGCCCCCGUAACGGGAUCUAGAGGAAUCUAUUGAGGUGGCACCUCCUCUUCAUGUGAUAUAUGUCCUAAUGGAUAUGAUGCCUUGGUAGAUUGAUUUGUUCUUUCCACCUUGGUCUAGAUUUAGGAGUGGUUCCUUUACUAGACGUAGACCCUAACUAUAUAAAUGGAAACAACUUAAUACAAAAAUUAACCCAUAAUGAUAAAAGAGAAUGGAAUGUAGAAAGAUGUAUUUUGAAAUGAAAUGAUAAGAUAUGAAAUGAUAAUUUAUGAUACAUAUAAAAAGAGUUUUCCUUGAAAAGGCUUGAAAAUGUUUUAUGGUCUAAAAGUAUGUUAUGUUAUGAAUGAAAUGAUUUUUCAUGUAAAUGCUUGAAAUUUUUUGGGUCUCAAACCCAUAUAACUUACGAGACAUUAUUGUCUUACAUACAUGGGCGAAGGUUAUAUACGGCCAGGAGGGGUUAUGCCCCCCCCCCUUGAUUUUUUGUAACGAUCAACUUCUGCGGUAUUAAUUAAUUUAAUUUCUUGAAUUUUAGUUGGGCUAUGAUUGGUAAUUGACAUCUUGGAUUGGACCUUCAUGAUUAUUGGGCCGAGAUGUAAGAUGCCCAUAAGCUGUACGCGGGGCUUAGUGCCUUUAGUAUGCGCGGGUUGUGAGAGGUAUACGCGCAACGUACCAUAAGGUAUGCCCAGCGUACACGACCAGAUGGCAAAACCCUAAUUUUAGGGUUUGAGACAUAUUUAAACCCCAUUAUAGCCUCCCAUUUGGCCUCCUCACAUAUCAUUCACUCCCAGAAAACCCUAGUUCGUCCCUUACUCCUUGUUUGUGUGUGGUUGAUCUUUUGGACUCAUUUUUGUGAAGAAAAGUUUGGAAGAAGAAGAAGAGAAGUGGAAGAAUGAGAACUUGAGUAUCUUGAGCUCAAGGAUCUAGGAUCAUUUCUUCAUUUGGCAUCCAAAAGAGGUAUAAAGCUCUCAACUUUCCUCUUGUAAGCUUAGAUCUAUGAGUUUUUGGAAGUUUGGACCUUUUAGGUCCAAAGGAAGGACCUUUAUCAUGCAACAUCGUUUUGGAGCUUGGGAUUGCUAUCCUUGAAGCUCAAAGUGUCCCUAUAGCAGUAAAGUUUCAAUCUUUGAGGCUUUCAUGAAGCCAUGCAUGAGAUCUAUCCAUCUUCUUGGAAGUAGUUGGUUGUUUUUAGAAGUUUGAGCUUAUGUGAGUCUUGUAAGCCAUCAAGGAAGCAACUUUAUGGUUUAAGACAUGGAAUAAGACCUGGAUCUUAGAUUGUAGCUUCUGAUUCGGAAUAUUAAGCACUUAAUAGAAAAAGAACUUAUCAGGGUAUUACAUCGAGCGUACGUGUAGGUACGCCCAACGUACUCGCCAUCAAGCAGUUACGCUAAGCAUACUCUGGAAUAUGCCCCGCGUAACGCAGUCAGUUUGGGCCUUGAGUAUUGGGCCUCGGUGUGGGCUGCAUUUUGGACCUAGGGCCUUAGUGGGCCAGCAGGAGUCAGAUUAUGGGCCAAGGGCAGUUUUGGGCUUAUGAAGGGCUAUAUGUGAAGUAGGCCCAAUUUAGUAUAACAGGGCCAUUGGUGGGCCUUUAAUGGACCAGUGGUAGAAUUAGAAAGAAUUAAAGGGUUUGGGCCAUGGUUAUGACCCACAUCAUAGUAGGGGGUAAAUAGUUAUUUUACCCAUCAAGAGAUCCCCAUUUUGAUUAAGUAUUUGAUUUGUCAUGAUAGUCGGCGAGCAGCCGGGACAGCAGUCAGGGAUCUUUCACUCGGGUUUUCAGCAGUCAGCAUUCCGAGGUGAGUUUCCUUCCAGUAUGAACGGGUUUACGGCCACAAUGCCGGCUCGUUAGUUUGUAGUUAGUUCCGGACUCCGGUCCGAUGCAGUAGUUCAAGGUGCUUGAUGUCUUUGUGAUUUAAGCAUGUCUAUGUGUUAUGUGUUUCGGACUUCGGUCCGAUGUAGUAUGUUGUAUAUGUGUUUAUGCUAGUAGAUAUAUUAUGCUAUGCUAUGUUUAGUCAGUUCCGGACUUCGGUCCGAUGCAGCCAGUUCCGGACUUCGGUCCGAUGCAGUCAGUUCCGGACUUCGGUUCGAUGCAGCUAGUUCCGGACUUCAGUUCGAUGCAGGGGAUAAGGUCCCAGUCAGAUUCCGGACUUCAGUCCGAUGCAGUUUCCGGACUUCGGUCUGAUGCAGAGGGCAAGGCCCUGGUCAGUUUUCGGACUUCGGUCCAAUGCAGUGGGCAAGGCCCAAUAUGUGCUUUAUAUGUUAUUGUAUGGUAUGUGGUAGUUUGGGGGAGCUCACUAAGCUUUGUGCUUACAGUUUUAGUUUUGGUUUCAGGUACUUCUGCUAGUAAAGGGAAGAGCUUGGGAUGAUGGCAUGGCACACACCACAACUUCAGUUUAGGCUGGGAAUCUACUAUGAUAUUUUGAUAUGAUUGAUACAGUCUUGUUUUGAAUACUAUUACUAUGACUUUGAGUUACUCGUACCAUGGUUUUAUUAUAUAUGACGUUUGAUGUUGUGAUUUUUAGUAAUAUUAAAACAAAAUUUUUUGGGUCGUAUUUUGGGUCGUUUCAUUUUUUUAUUAGAAGUCCACAUAACCCAUGUUUUUUUAUCCACAUUAAGCCGUAUACAUUAAAAAAAAUUAGGCUCCCCCCCNNNNCCCCCCCAAUGCUUUCCAAUAGUCCGAUUGAAACAAAAGAAGGGAUCGUCAAUCUGCUGCUGACUUGUUGUGCUGUUGUGACCUGCUGUGCUGCACGCUGAAGAAUAAAGUCUCCAUCUGCUGUCGUUGCGCCCCUGUUACUUAAUCAGGGUUUUUUUUUGUCUUCAAAAUGCAAAAAUCAUAAUCUCUCAUCUCAAUUAUGUUUAACUGCCAUGCGUCGCUUUCCUUGUUGGAAUCAAUGAUUGAUUUCAUAUAUCUUUAACUGUUUAAUUAUUUUUUUCUAAAUCAAAAUCAAUAAUGUUUGAUUGUUUUCAAUUAUGUUAUAUCAUGUAAUUGUUAGUUAAUUGAUUAGAUUUUUGAUUGUUAGGAUUUAGGAUUAAUUUCAUAUAUGUUUAAAUGUUUGAUUAUUUUUUUCUAAAUCAAAAUCAACAAUGUUUGAUUGUUUUCAAUUAUGUUAUAUCAUGUAAUUGUUAGUUAAUUGAUUAGAUUUUUGACUGUUAGGAUUUAGGAGCAUUGUUAGUUAAAUGAUUUCUCAUAAAUAAAAUUUGUAGGAUUUAGGAACAUUGUUGGUUAAUUGAAUUCAUAAUUUUGCAAUAUGAGAUUAUGAUUUCACUUUUGAUUUUUAUAGAUACAAUCAUACAAAGCGUACAAUUUUAUGGGAAAGAUGAAAAUCAAUGAUUCUUUUUUCAAAAGAAAGAAUGAUGAUGAAUAAACUCAUAAUGAAAAUCAACAAAGUAAACGUCACAAAGCUUCAACAAGUGAGCCGCAACCGCAAGAACAUGAAAAUCAACAAAAGAAUGAUAUUUUUGAAGCUACACUAUCAAAUCCUAAUGAAGUGGAUCUUAAAAAUCUAGAAAGAGAUCCCACUAAACGAAAACAAAUGUGGGAAUAUCCGGUUAAUUUAAGGGAAUAAGUAAGACGAGAUUAUAUGACUUUAGGACCUUUCCAAAUAUGUCUUCAAGAAUAUCAUGCUAAAGGUUCAAAAAAACACCCUCAUAGAUUCCAAUAUUCUUGGUUCAAUAUUUUCCCUAAUUGGUUAGAGUAUUUUCCAACAACACAUGCUUCUUGUUGUUUUAUUUGUUAUAUAUUUAAUGAUAAGCCAAGUGUGUGCAAUGGUUACAAUGCAUUUACUGUUAAAGGAUUUGACAAUCGGAAAAAAGUUAAUGAUGGGAAAAAGUGUGCAUUCUUGAAGCACUUAGGUUGUUCGCAACAUAGAAAUGCUGUUACAUUUGUUGAAAACUUGAUGAAUCAAGCAACACACAUUGAAAAUAUCAUAGUGAAGCAAAAUGAAGCACAAAUACUGAAGAAUCGUUUACGAUUAAAAGCUUCAAUUGACACAGUUUGUUAGUUGACAUUCCAAGAUUGUGCUUUACGAGGCCAUGAUGAAACGCCUAAUUCCAAAAAUCGAGGUAAUUUUCUUCAACUACUAAAACUUCUAGCAUCUUAUAAUGAUGAAGUUGUAAAUGUUAUAUUAGAGAAUGAUCCUUAUAAUUCAAAGUAUACUUCUGGAGAUAUUCAAAAAGAAAUUCUUAGUAUUAUUGCAAAUAAAGUUCGGAAGCAUAUUCGUAGUGAAGUCGGGGAUUCAUACUUUUGUGUCAUGGUUGAUGAGUCAUGAGAUGAGUCUAAAAAAGAGCAAAUAGCCAUAGUUUUGAGAUUUGUUGAUGCAGAAGGGAUCAUACGGGAAAGGUUCUUGGAUUUGGUUCGUGUUAGGGAUACCUUAUGAUUAACCUUGAAAACAAAUAUGUGGACCCAACUUUUGCACUAUCAGUUUGAUGUUAGUAAAAUUUGUGGCUAAGGUUAUGAUGGUGCUAGUAAUAAGAGAAGGGAAUGGAAUGGAUUGCAGGCACUUGUUCUGAAGGAUUUUCCUUAUGUGUAUUAUGUUCACUACUUCACUCACAGAUUACAACUAGCAUUGGUGGCUGCUUCAAGGGAAAUUAUUCCUAUACACCAAUUUUUUACAAACUUAAUUUUUAUAAUUAAUGUAGUUUGUGCUUCUAGUAAACGACAUGGUGAGUUACAAAAGGUAAAGGCAACUGAGAUUGAAAAUUUAUUGGAACUUGGUGAAAUCGAAUCAGGUAAAGGAUUGAAUCAAGUUGGGACAUUAAGAAGAGCUGGUGAUACACGUUGGGGUUCUCAUUUUCAUUCAAUUUGCAAUUUGCUUAACAUGUUUGAUUGUACUCGUGUUGUUCUCCAGGGAAUAAUUAAUGAUGUAUCUACUACUUAUUCUCAAUGCAGAGAUGUUGAUGCAACUUACUGUUUCCUGAAAUCAUUUGAGUUUGUUUUUAUUCUUCACUUGAUGAAAGAAGUAAUGGGAAAAAAUGAUAUACUUUCUCAAGCUCUACAAAAGAAAUCCCAAUAUAUUCUUAAUGCCAUGGAGUUAGUUUCAGCAACAAAGGAGAGUCUAAAUGAUUUCAGGAACAACGGAUGGGAUUCUUUAUUUGCACAGGUAAAGUUAUUUUGUGAGAAACAUCAAGUAGAUAUGCCGGAUAUGAAAGCUUCAUAUACUCCUACUUGAUACCUGCCUCGAAAAAAUGAUAAUCAUGUUACUUUUGAACAUUUUUAUCGAGUAGAUUUGUUUACAUCCACAUUGGACAAACAGUUACAUGAGUUGAAUAAUAGAUUCAAUGAUCAAGCGAUGGAGUUGUUAAAUUUUAGUUCUACUUUAGUUUCAAAAGAACACCCUAAAGUGAUUAACAUUGAUCAUAUUUGUCUUCUCGUUGAAAAGUAUUAUCCUAAUGAUUUUACGGAGCAAGAGAGAAUUCAAUUAUGAUAUCAAUUGGAGAUUUUUAAUAUCGAUAUGACAAAGAAUCCCAAGCUAAGUGGUGUAUCAACUAUUGCUGACUUAUGCAAGGGUCUUGUAGAAACUCAGAAACGUGAGACAUAUUAUUUGCUUGCUAGAGUGGUUCGGUUAAACUUAACACUUCUAGUUUCUACCGCAACAACAGAGAGGGGCUUUUUAGCAAUGAAAAUAUUCAAGAACCGCCUUCGCAAUAAGAUGUCAGAUGACUUUCUCGCAAACAACUUGGUGGUUUACAUAGAAAGAGAAAUUGUUGAAAACAUUGAUAUGAUAUCAGUAAUUGAUGAAUUUAAAGACUUUAAAGGUCGUCAGACUGAGUUGUAAUUCUUCUUUUAGGUAUUUUUGGUGUUUAGUUGUUGAAAAAUAAUUUGUUUUUUUUUUAUGUGUAAGAACCAUAAUUAUAGGUAUUUUGGGUGUUUAAUUGCUGGAAAAAAUGGUUAUUUUAUGUGUAAAAACGUUAAAUUUAGUUUUCUACUAAUUUCGGCCCCCCAAAUGAAUCGUUCAAGCUCCGCCCCUNCGUUCAAGCUCUGCCCCUUCUUACAUAUAUCUUUUUAAUGCCAUGUAUCUCAGGUUAUUUUCAAAAAUGAAACGACGUGAAAAUUCAAAACAAUUUUUCAUUUUUCAAACCACAUAAAACUCAUAUAAUAUUCUCAAAUCUCAUGUUCAUCAAAUGUCAUCGUAAUAAAACAUAUCCCAGGAUCACAAAAUAUAAUCAUCUGUCAGUGUGUACGGAUCAUGCCGGCACCUUCCCGUGAUCCUCACUAGUACCUGAAACACAUAACAGAUAACAUUGUAAGCAUAAAUGCUUAGCGAGUUCCCCAAAAUACCACAUACAACACAUAUUAGCCACUCGAGGCUAUAACUAUGUAUGACCCUCUAGUCAGUGUGUCUUAGUGGGACCCUCCAGUCCCAUAACUCUAGGGACCCUCUGGUCCUAACUCUAUGGACCCUUUGGUCCUAACUCUGUGGACCUUUCGAUCCUAACUCUGUAUACUCUGAAUCAUACAUAGAACAAAUAAAAAAGAAAUAAUGCAGUGUAUCACAUCAUAUAAAUAGCAUACAAGAUACUCUGUUACAUAACUCUAAUUACCACUCUUGGUAAAGUAUAGUGAGAAGACUCACCUCGGGUAACUCGGAUAAAUCUCAAACUCGAUAUACAGAUCUAACCUUCGCCUAAUCACCUAAAAUUAAUACUCAUAAUCAAUACGACUCUCAAAGGCUAGACUAACCCUUCUCUAAAUUCUCUCAGAAGGGUAAAAGACCAUUUUACCCCUCUAAUGGUUCAACAGUCCAAAUAUUGACUAAACCCUAAAAGUCAACGAAAGUCAACCCUCUAGAGUACGCGGCGCGUAACAACUCUGUAUGCUGGGCGUACUCUAAUACUUCAUAGAAUCGGGGAGCUCAACCCCCUACGCUAUGCAUACUGGGAUUAUGCCCGGCGUAAAGUCCCAGUCUUGUACUCUUUUUGAUUUUUGGUCUUAAACGGUUAAGACAUAAGCUCAAAUUCCAGAUCUGACUAUUUUAAGGCCCCUUAAUCCAUAAAGUCGAAACCUUUAAGCCUUUUCAUGGCUGUAAAGGUCACCAAUCACUCCAAACACCUUUCCUCUUUCCUCAUUAAGCCCUUAUCGCAUGCAUGACUUAAUAUUGACGUCCAAGAUUGGAUUUUUAUGAACCUACAACACAUAUUACACUGGAAUAGGGUAGAUCUAAGCUUAUGGAGACCCUUUGCUCAUUAAGUCUCCACCUAGGAACCAAAAACCCUAAAAAUGGGUCCAUAAAGCAAAAAAAUCAAAGAUGACAAGGAAAGCUUUGAGCUUUUUACCUCCAAGUGAAGCUCCAACCUCUGUAGAACUCGGAUCUAAGAUUGUCCUCCAAUUUUUAGCUUCCACAAUGGCCUCCUCUUCUUCUUCACCACCACAAAAUUGCACUUUCAAGCUUAAGAACACACACACAAGCUUAUAAGGGGGUUUUUCUCUCUUAGGGUUUCACUCUCUGUAUUAUGGUGGCUGUGGUAAGGACCAUAUCAUUCCUUUUAUAGCCCUCAAGUCUCAUUUAGGGUUUUGCAUCUGAUCCAGUUACGCCCAGCGUAACUUUGGUACACCCAGCGUAACUUUGGUACACCCAGCGUACCUAAUUGAGUCCGCGUCCAUAAUAAGCACAUGAGUACGCACAUCGUACUCUUCAGUAUGCCCAACAUACUCGUUUGCAACAUUUUUCACUUAGGGGCUAAAAUUGACAAUUUGGUAAAGAAAAAUCGUUAAAUAGAUGUACCUAAAUUUUGGGAUGCUACAAUUCUCCCCCACUAGAACCAGACUUCGCCUUCGAAGUCUCGUGCCAUAAACAACUCCGGAUGCUGCUCCCGCAUCUCCGACUACGACUCCCAAGUCAGCUCGGACCCUCUCCGAUGUUGCCACUGGACCUGAACUAGGGGCACCUCCUUGUUCCUCAGAACUUUGAUCCUCCGAUCCACAAUUAGGACUGGCCUCUAACGUAAUUCAGGUUCACAUCUAUCAGAAUAUCCUCCGGCGGCACUACUGUUGCCUCAUCAGCUAUACACUUCCUCAGUUGGGACACGUGGAAGGUGUCGUGGAUCUGACUCAACUCCUCGGGAGCUCCAAAUGGUAUGCUACCUUACCCACUCUGGCGAUCACCCUGAAAGGACCAAUGUAUCGGGGCCCUAGUUUGCCCCUCUUCCUUAAUCGGAUCACUCCUUUCCAAGGAGAUACCUUCAGGAGUACAAAGUCUCCAACUUGGAACUCGUGCUCGGAUCGUCGUCUAUCCGCGUAACUCUUCUGGCGACUCUAGGCUGUCAGUAAUCUCUGUCUGACCUGUUGGAUCUGCUCCGUUGUCUUAAGCACUAUCUCAGUGCUACCCAUCACUCGCUGCUCCACCUCGCCCCAACAGAUAGGGGUCCUACACUUCCCAUAAAACAGCUCAAAGGGAGGCAUACCAAUGCUCGAGUGGUGGCUGUUGUUGUAGGAAAAAUCAGCCAAGGGUAUGUAUGAAUCCCAACUUCCACCGAAAUCCAUAACACAUGCUCGGAGCAUGUCCUCGAGCAUUUGAAUCGUCCGCUCACUUUGACCAAACAUAUAUCUCCGCCAGCUUCUCUGUAGAAGAACUCUCACUGAUAGCAAGGAAGUGAGUGCUCUUCGUCAACCGAUCCACAAUCACCCAAAUUGCAUCAACACCCCUCGCGGUCCUCGGCAAUUUGGUGAUAAAAUCCAUAGAAAUCUGUCCCCACUUCCACUGAGGAACCUCUAAUGGCUGCAGCUUGCCAUGCAGAUGCUGAUGCUCGGCCUUAACUCAGCGACAGGUGAAGCACCUCUCCACUACCCACACAACAUCCCUCUUCAUACAGGGCCACCAGUAAUCUCUCUUUAGGUCCAAAUACAUCUUAGUGGCCCCCGAAUGGAUCGAGAAUCUUUGAUUUGCGCCUUCUCCAUCAGUAUGGUACGCACCCCGCCCGAAAACGACACCCAAAUCCGACCAUGAAAGGUCAUAAGCCCCCGACUAUCGGUAACAAACUCGGAUACCUGCCCAGUCACCCGCUCUCUCUUGCGGUUCUUCGGUCUCACAGCCUCUUCCAGGGCCUCUCGGAUGGUAUCCAACACCGGAGUCAUCACCGUCAUCCUCAAACGAAUAUCUCGUAUCAGGGCACUCUAGGCCCUGCUUCUUAGGGAAUCGACUACCACAUUAGCCUUGCCCGGUAAGCUUUGCAGAAGUGAAAUCCUCCGUCACUAACUUCCACCAGUCCUUUGCUCCCAAGCGAAGCUGGUUCAGCGCGAACCGUAUCCUCAGAUGCUCCAGACAUGAACAUGUGUAGAAGCAUCCCUUAAUGUCAGAGAUCCAUCUCAUCACAGCUAUCGGAUCCCGAGUCCCAUCAAACUCUGGUGGCUUCGUGUUGCUGAACUCCUGGUACAACAACGAGUCACCCCCUAUAGCCUGGCAGCGGUGGUCGCAGCAACAGCAGCAUCAGUAAGAACAGUGUACCGCUCAUCAAAAGUCUCGAUCAGCGUGGUCUUGAUAGACCCAAACAUCUUCGAUAUCUCAGAUCGGAUGUCCGCAUCCACCUCCUCAUGAAUCAUCCUGUGAAUCUCCUCAUCGCUGACACCGCUGCUCUCUGGAGUGUGGCGCGUACUCACCAUGAUGUCUCUGAAACACAACACAAAAGAAAUCAGAGACCCGCUAGAGUAUCCUCGCACUCGAUCACUCAACCCUACUUGUUCCUUAGUACCCUAAGGCUUCUUACUUGGACUGCUCACUGAUCCGGUGUUUCCAGUAGUACGGGCCCUAUACUACUUUCCACACCGCAUCAGCAUUCACCCCAAGUCCUCCUCCUAGUAUCCCAGAUCACAAGUACUCUAUAUCUCUCUACGCACCGGCUACUCUCCAGUAGGCCAUUCAUAAGCUCCUCACAGUUACCUACUCGCUCUCGAAAUAUCUCAUAGCAGUAGUAAUCUCCUAGGCUAACACAUCACAAAUCAGGCCACUCUAGUCCUAGAUAUGAAUACCUAGCCUACUCUAGCAUGCAUAGCAUAUCACAUAAUAUCUCAUAACACAUAAUGUAAGGGUAUUUUGGGAAAUCACCGUUCGGGUGCUGGCUAAUCGUACACACUUCUCCGCUCUGCCUUUCUCAAAAUCUUUUACUCUUUUAGAAAAAAUUGUUUCUUUUAUGAAAAAUUUCCUCAAAUCCUCAGUUUGAGUUCAAAUACGCCCAAAGGUGCAUCCGAAUCCCUCAAACUAAGGCUCUGAUACCAACUUGUAACGACGUGAAAAUUUAAAACAAAUUUUCAUUUUUCAAACCACAUAAAACUCAUAUAAUAUUCUCAAAUCUCAUGUUCAUUAAAUGUCAUCGUAAUAAAACAUAUCCCAAGAUCACAAAAUACAAUCCUCUAUCAAUGUGUACGGAUCAUGCCGACGCCUUCCUGCGAUCCUCGGUAGUACCUAAAACACAUAACACAUAACACUGUAAGCAUAAAUGCUUAGCGAGUUCCCCAAAAUACCACAUACAACACAUAUUAGCCACUCGAAGCUAUAACUCUGUAUGACCCUCUAGUCAGUGUGUCUUAGUGGGACCCUCCAGUCCCAUAACUAUGGGGACCCUCUGGUCCUAACUCUGUGGACCCUUUGGUCCUAACUCUGUGGACCUUCCGAUCCUAACUCUGUAUACUCUGAAUCAUACAUAGAACAAAUCACAUAGAAAUAAUGCAGUGUAUCACAUCAUAUAAAUAGCAUACAAGAUACUCUGUCACAUAACUCUAAUUACCACUCUUGGUAAAGUAUAGUGAGAAGACUCACCUCGGGUAACUCGGAUAAAUCUCAAACUCGAUAUAUAGAUCUAACCUUCGCCUAAUCACCUAAAAUAAAUACUCAUAAUCAAUACGACUCUCAAAGGCUAGACUAACCCUUUUCUAAAUUCUCUUAGAAGGGUAAAAUACCAUUUUACCCCUCUAAUGGUUCAACAGUCCAAAUAUUGAUUAAACCCUAAAAGUCAACGAAAGUCAACCCUCCAGAGUACGCGGCGCGUAACAACUCUGUACGCUGGGCGUACUCUGAUACUUCACAGAAUCGGGGAGCUCAAUCCCCUACGCUAUGCGUACUGGGAAUAUGCCCAACGUAAGUCCCAGUCUUGUACUCUUUUUGAUUUUUGGUCUUAAACGGUUAAGACAUAAGCUCAAAUUCCAGAUCUGACUAUUCUAAGGCCACUUAAUCCAUAAAGUCAAAACCUUUAAGCCUUUGCAUGGCUGUAAAGGUCACCAAUCACUCCAAACACCUUUCCUCUUUCCUCAUUAAGCCCUUAUCUCAUGCGUGACUUAAUUUUCACGUCCAAGAUUGGAUUUUUAUGAACCUACAACACAUAUUACACUGGAAUAGGGUAGAUCUAAGCUUAUGGAGACCCUUUGCUCAUAAAGUCUCCACCUUGGAACCAAAAACCCUAAAAAUGGGUCCAUAAAGCAAAAAUCAAAGAUGACAAGGAAAGCUUUGAGCUUUUUACCUCCAAGUGAAGCUCCAACCUCUGUAGAAAUCGGAUCUAAGCUUGUCCUCCAACUUCUAGCUUCCAUAAUGGCCUCCUCUUCUUCUUCAUUACCACAAAAUGGCACUUUCAAGCUUAAGAACACACACAAGCUUAUAACGGGGUUUUGCUCUCUUAGGGUUUCACUCUCUAGAUUAUGGUGGCUGGGGUAAGGACCAUAUCAUUCCUUUUAUAACCCUCAAGUCUCAUUUAGGGUUUUGCAUCUGAGCCAAUUAUGCCCAACGUACCUAAUUGAGUCCGUGUCCAUAAUAAGCGCAUGAGUACGUGCAACAUACUCUUCAGUACGCCUAGCAUACUCGUUUGCAACAUUUUUCACUUAGGGGCUAAACUUGACAAUUUGGUAAAGAAGAAGGGUUAAAUAGAUGUACCUGAAUUUCGGGAUGUUAUAAAAAAGAAAGAUGAUGGAUGGAAUUUAGAAGUUAAGAGAUAAAUAAUAUAGUAGAACUUGUCAAAUUCCUUAUUAGUUGUAUCGAUAUAAUUUUUAUUUGGUUGCUAUGAUUUAUAUGAUGCUUAAUGGUAACACCCAAUGUUUUAAUCAUAAUUCAUAAAUGUAGCUUGAAUUUAAUGAGAUAGUUGAUGUAUAUGUUAGAGGGAGCUUGAAUUGCUCGGAAUGAAUAUCCACCACAAGUAAAUUUGAUGGGUACUAGUUCAAUUGGAUAGCUCAAAAAGCUCUAACUAUUAGUUAGAUCCUUGCUUAAUGAAGUUAUUUCGAUUCAAAAACUAAUAUAACUAAAAAUAUAUAUUAGAAUUAUGUUUGAUAAAAUACGUUCAACUCUAAUAUUAAAUAUAGAUAAGAUUCCAAAUACUAAUACACAUAUAGGGUUGAAAAUAACUUCUUACAAUCAUCAAGUCAUUCAAUUCAAUAAUAUCUUAACCUUUAACACGUUCUUGUCUAACAUAGUUGAAGCUUCUUGACACAUGCUUAAUUAAUUAAUCCAUGGGACGAGAAGAAGGACUAAUGAUGGAUGCAUGAUCGUUUAAGAAAUAAAAUAUGAUUUUGGGUACUUUAAAAUUAAAAUAACUAAAUCAAAAAAAAAUUAAUCCUUAUAAAUCCUUUUUCUUUAUAUUAUAAAUACGCAAGUUGAUAAACAAAAAAUGGAUAAAUACUAAAAGGCAUAUGGCAAGUGGAUCAGAUACGCGUUGAAAAAGAAAAUAACUAUUUUAUUGAAUAUUGGUAACUUGUUUAAUCAAAAGUUUUCAUAUAAUAGAAUAAAAUCAAAAGUCUAAAAGUUAAUAAAUACAAAAAUAUUCUAUAAUGAAAAGUUCAAAACAGUAUCUUGGAUAAUUUAAUCGUCAAAAAUCUCAAUAGCUUUUUCCUUAAAUAUAAAUUAAUGAAACGAUAUUAACUUUUACAUGUAUAUUAUAUAUUUUUUUUAUAAAAAUUUAGAAUUUUCUUAGAGACAAAGAAUGUAAAUAAUAAUAUAUUGUUUUCAAUUUACAUGAAGAGUUAAUAUGGUUUUUCAAUGACAAUUUAUUUAUAAAAUAGCUAAAUGAUUACACAAUAUUAAUAUUUGGUAAAAAUAUUUAUUUUGCUUAUGUUGUAGAAGAAUUAAGUUUAAAAAAAAAAUCAUUUGCAUUAUUUAUAUAAAUUAUAAAGUGUAAAGUAUAAACUGCAUAAAUAUAUCUCACAAAUCGCAAUAUUUCAUAUUCCCAUUUGAAAAUUAAGUUGUAAUAUGUGGUGGCUUUGAAGUUUUAUUCAAAUGGCAUUUUCGUAAUAAUAUUCCCAUUUUUUUAAUAUAUAUAUACUUCACAAAUAACCUCUUCUCACAAAAUACACAUAUCAUCGCUUACUUCAAACCCCCCCUCUGAAAAAUCAUCAUGUCUGGAUACCCCCAUAACACACCGGGAUACGGUGCUCCACCGUCAUCACAGCCAUACUCCUCCGCCCCUUACGGCGCCCCAGCUCAACCCUACGGUGCCCCAGCACAACCUUACGGCGCUCCGGCCCCAGCACAACCCUACGGCGCCCCUGCACAGCCCUACGGCGCAUCACAGCCUCCACAUGGUCACCCUCAACAAUCCCCUUACGCACCGGUAGCCAGUCCAUACGGCGCACCACCGCCUUCAGCCCCUUACGGCGCACAUCCAGAAACUAAACCGCCAAAAGAGAUGAAACCCUCAUCCUCCCC
rnacentral:lncRNA from 1 species